AGAAGCCCUCCUAGCUAAAAAGAACCUGUGCGGCUCUUUCUCCCUUCGCCCAAUCUCUACUGCAGGGCAAGAGAAGGAGGGAAAGAAGAACGGAACCGGGUGAAGAAAACGGGAGAGGAGAAAAAGAAGGAGAAGGUGGGGGAGGCGGAGCUAACACUGAAGCGGCUCGGAUAGUUGGCAGACACCGUGUUCUUCCUCGCCGUUCUUUUAAUCUGCCUCUCCCUCACCCUCGCCGCCCCACCGGCAGCCGAGGAGUAGAUUUGGGGAGGAGGAGGGUGGGGUUGGCUCUCGGCGACCGCCAACACCAGCAGCAGCGCCGCCGCCGCCGCGCUCCCAAAUUCGCCUCCGUCCGGCAUUCCGGCUCCUCAGCAGCCCUCGAGACUUCGCGCCCCACAGCGGGAAAGCAGGACUCUCCGGGCGCGAGCAUAAAAAUAAAAUAAUAAAGCGCGGAAGGGAGAGAGAGAAGAGCUGCCUCAGCGCGCCGCUACCACCAGCAGCAGCACCGGCAGCGGCUUGUCUUGCUUGCUUCCUUCGCCAGCCUGGGAGCUCUGCCCGCAGCCGCUCGGAGGAGCCUCUUGGCAGCUUCCCGCGCCAAGGUAAGGCUCGGGUUGGGUUGCGCGUCCCGGAGUGCAGCGCCGUGUUUGUUGUGAGGAGGAGGAGGAGGGGGCGCGCGGGCGGGUGUGGGGGAAAGAGCGGGAAAAGGCGCCUUUCUCUCUCGCUUCGCAGUGGUGGGUCGCUGCUGCCUUUGAAGGGAAAGAGCAGGUGCUUCCACCAAAAAAAAGGAGGGGGUUCGUUUGGGUAUGUGGAGAAAGAGAAACAAUUCAAGGCAGCGUCUGCACCACCAUCAAUCCCACCCAGGCUGUCCUUUCCCCUCUCGUGCACAGCCUCUGCCUCCAGCUCUUUUUCUCUUAGCUCGGGCAUGGAUUCAGUCCUUUCUCCCGGGAGGUGGGUGGGUGGGCUCCGGGCUUCUCUUGGCAUGCACAAUUUUGGCCCUCGGAUUUGGGCGACACUCUCCCCCACACCCCUCGAGUCAACAAGUUUUAUUGGUGGCGCGAAGACCCGGGCGCUUCUAGUUCUCCUUCGAGCUGUGGAGGCUGGUGUUUUGCCAAACUGUCUGCUGGGUUUUGCAGUUUCGCCUGCAGCACUUCGGCUGCGUGGUCGGUUUGCUUUGAAGCCCCGUCGUGCAAAGCCGUGAUUUGCCUCCGCUCAAAAACAAACAAAAACUUACUUCAGAGUAAUUGCCUUGCACGUUUGUCCGCGCCCUCUCAGGGGUAAGACAGCAGCGGAUGCUGCAAGACCUGGGCUCUGUGAACCUGGCUGUAAAAUUAGCUCCGCUGAACUCGGUCGGACUUGCUCAGAGUGGUAGAGCUUUGCAUGCAGAAGGUCCCAGGUUCAAUCCCUGGCAUCUCCAGGUAGGGCAGGGAGGGAGGGAGAGAAAGGGACCCCUGCCUGAAACCUUGGGAGAGCAGCUGCCAGCCCGUGUUUUCACUACUAAGGUAGAUGGACCGGUGUAAGGCAGCUCCCUAUGCUCUGAUUCUGAGCAAAUGUGCAGGACUGGACUGUGGAAGAAGGUGGAGUGGCUGAGAUUGCCACCCAAACAGAGUUUGCAUAAGGAGCGAGAGUGCUCUGGUAGGGAAGGGCUGCUGCCAAAUAGAUUUUCCUACUGAAAUGGAGUGGGGAGGGGAGAACUAUGGUAUGCAAAAUUGCGACUCCCCCCUCCUCCCAUCAAAAGAAGUAGUGAUGGUGCGACAGGGUACAACAAACUGAUGGGCAUCAGACCCGAUCGUUCUUCCUAUGUGAGUCUAUCUUCUGCACAGUUCCCACUCAGGGUUUACCCAGAGGAGUACAGAUACGGAGGUUAACUUUGCUAGAUAGCAGUUAUCUUUUCCAGUCACCUUUGCAGAGAGACGGCAAACAGGCGAUAUGUAUCAGCCCCUCGUUCUUGUCUUUUAACAAAUGGAAUGAGCAAAAAGGAGAGAAUCUGGGCAGUGGUGUGGUGGAUCCUGGGAUAAACAGACAUUUGGAUGAUAAAACCCUGGUCAGGUUUUGCCUGAGCUCCUAUUAGUACUCCAGCGUUGGUCCAGAGAUGUUCAAUUAUGUCUUUGGAAGCAGAAACAAGCAAACACAAAAGCAACUGAUGUCUUGCAGGAAUGGGAAGCUGGGUGUUACAAGCAGCAAGUUAACACCUCUUCCACUGCACACCCUCCUCCAGUGUUGAAUACAAGGAACUAGCUUCCUUUUAUUUACUAUGCAAAUUAAAAGAUUGGGUCUUACUAUAUGUAGGUUGAAACAUGCCUAGGAAAAGGAUAAGAAAAGUGAUACAGGGGUGUGUGUGUGUGUGUGUGUGUGUGUGUGUGGUUGUUUGUGCAUGUACACACAUGUAGAGUACAACUAUUGGGUUAAUCUUGUGUAAAUUCUUGGGACAACUUUUACUGGAUGCAAACAAGUGUUCCUUUUUUCAGUUUUCAAAUUCUGUCUUCCCAAGGGUGGUUGUUAGCUUUCUGUGUUGCGAGCAACAUAAUGCAGCAUGUUGUGUCACUUACCCAGACAGAAAUGACUUGCUCACUAAACUACAAAUGAAAUGAUGCUGCUUGCAUAACAAGUGAGGCUAGUUAGCAUUUUACAUACUGAUUUUCAUUUAAGGUAAAUGAAAGCAGGAUAGCUGUCACUGUGUUUAUGGUUAUUUGUGCUCUGUAGGGAAGGAUAUACUAAAAUCCUAGAGAUCUGUCAUUCAAAAAUCAUGAAAAUAUAUUUUAUUUAUGUUUAAUCUCCCCUCCCCCCACCCACCCGAAUAAGCUACUUUUUGAAAUGUGUUUAAAAGGAUCUGUAUAAAUCCAGACAUCAUUUUUGGUUUUUGUGUUUUUUUAAUGUUGUUAUAGAUUUUGUGUUAAAACUUCUUCACUACCUUAAUGAAAUUAUUACUUUUAGAAUAAUAAAUGAUGCUGUUGAAAGUGCUAGGUUGAGUGUGAAUCAAAAACUACAAACAUCUCAUUGCUUGGGACCCCGAACACACUAUUAGAUUAGAAAUAAUUACCGCUUCUUCUCCAGGGACCAACUUUUGAGCAGGGGUGAAGGUGGACAUACAUUUUUAAGUGGGUUGGAAUGGAAGUAGUUUCGAAACAGUUCUGCUGCAUUUUGAGGCAUUUGUUUCCAUCGCACUCUUUAUAGGCUGAACUGCGCAGUUUAGAAUCUCUGCCUGUGCCUGGGUUAAUUUAUGGGCAGUCAUUGCUUGAAGUUGUGUAUUUCCAUAGUAUCUCUCUUGCCUUGUGGAUGCAAGUUACAAAACCAUUUCUGUUUGACAGUAGUUGAAUGCCACCAUCUGGAUUCAUUCCUAAUAUUAGGGGAUCACAUGAUCAACACUACUGCAUGUUUUUCUUUAAAAAAACAACAACCCAGCAGCUGCUGUGGUUUAUCUGAGGGUACUUCUAUAACUGAAAUAGGCUGUAAGCCACAGCUGGUAAGGAAAGAAUAAGUUGACACACCCAGUCAACAAGGUUUGACUUGAGUGUUAUAACGCCGAAGUGAUAAUUAUGACUGCUGUAGACAAACAGUUCAUUGUAAGCAAGUUCCAUUGGAAUCAGUGGUACUUUGCCACACAUGUAUAGUGUCUAAAAUUCGAAUGCAAUGGUAGUUACUGCCACUUGUGGAAAUAAGCAAGACUGUUUCUGUGCCUCCUCAAACCACAAGUGCUGUUUCCCUUACCAGUGAUUGGAAUUGCAUCGUGUGCAAACUGAAAAUGUGAAAUCACAAGGCAUAUUUAUAAGCUGUUAAAACAAUUUAGAUGAUAAAAUAGUUGUCAGUUGCAUGGUACACACAGGCCAAGUACAGUGUGCUGUCAGAUUUCUGCAUGAUGCAUCAUUCACUUCUGGUAUGAAUAGCUUUACUGGGUCAUUGAUCUGGUUUCUGACUAUAACCAUAUUCAGAUGCUUUUCUGUAGGUGUUAACAUCAUAGAUUAGAAAACUUGGUUCCAUUUUGCAGUUAAAGUUGUCAGAAAUAUCUAAACCUGCUAUUCAUUGGCAUAGAUACCCUUAGCAUCCUAAUAGCUGUUCAUUCCCCACCACCAUGUUUUCCAUAAUCUCAUAUAUAUUGCGCUCCAGGAAAUGUAUGUCUCCUUAUGUAUAACCCUUUGCCUUCUCAUUGUAAGCUUUCAAGCUUGGCCAUACAGUUUGUCAAGAUAUUCCUAGAUAUAACCUCUUAUAUCUUCUACAGAACUACUUGGGAACAUAAAAAGACUCUAGUACAUCAGACCAAAGAUCCAUCUAGUUCAAAAUUAUUAUUAUUAUUAUUAUUAUUAUAACAUCCUGCUUCCAUAGAGCCCUACCAGACGCCUCCGGGAAUCCCUUUCUCUUUAAUAGACAAUGAUUUUGUUCUCUUGCAGCAUGUGGCGUCUGUCUGAGUGUAUGCUAAUAUUCUACCUAUACUCUAAGCAUUUUAUAGGAUAAUGGAAGACCUGAUGCUUAGCCAAUUAAAAGACUCUCAUUGACUUUGCCGUGGCCUAAGCACUGAAUUCAUAGGAAGCUAUCCAGUAUAACAUUUGCAAUGUGGACAAAAUUACUUUCUCGCUUGACUCAUGUUGGGAAAUAAUGCAUUGCUGGUAGCUUAAAAUAGUCGGAAGAAGUGCUUGCUAGUGCUCUUUAACCUUUUCAGGCCUGUGGACAAACUAUACUGAGCAAGGCUCUUUGGGCCUUGGGCAGGAAUACUGAGAUUUGUUCCCCUCCCCCAACUGGUAGAAGCACUAUGUCUGCUUCUUGAUAAGAUAUCAGUCUUUUAAAUUUUAUUUCUGGAAGACAGAAAGAAUGAGGUCAUCUAAGUUAAAUUAAGGAUAAGCACAGAAGUGUAGCAAAAUCAGUUCAUUCUAAAGGAUGGAUUAAUCUAUGAUUUCAAUUUCAAUUUUUAAAAUUCAGAUUUCAGUUCAGAAUUAUUACUUUUCAGUAAUGUGAGCUUAUCAGCAUUUUAGUGUUAUCCCUGGGUUUCAUCCCAAAAUAAUAAGACUGCAGUACACAAGCUUUUUCUGCAGGAAAUUGUUAGCCAGCAUCCUUAAUAUCAAUUGGAUAUAAAUGAAUUUGAGGACUUUACAAUAGCCCCUCUAAUUUCCUCACUUCUCAUGUGCUGCAUUAGCCUCAAUUUCACUGUGUUCAUUAUCCUGUGGGCUUAAACUGUUCCAUGAUAGUUAAGGAUGAUGCCACUACUAAGUGAAGCUAGAGCUUGAUUCUUAUAUGGGCCCUAUAAUUUAUAUCUGUUUCCAGUGAGUAUAAACACAUUAUAUUGUACAGGAUUGGAGAAAUGGAAGGAUAAAGGUACAUUAGUGCUAGAGGUGCACACCCUUCUGCAUAAUACAAUAAUUACUUCUACUGUUUAGUAGUCAUAUCACACUUCUAAUAUGCAACAUGCUUUACAGUUUUUCAUUCUCUUUGCCCUAACAUAAUCCUUGGAAGUAUGUACAAUAUUCCCAUUUUAUGACUGUGGAACUGUGACCGAGAAAAUAAUUUGCUCAGGGCCAUGGCAGGGUAAUGAUUCAGACCCACGUUUCACAGAACCAAAUACAGUGGUAUAAAUCUGGCAUACUGCACUAACUCAUUUAUUGCUGGUGUACACAUUUUGUUUAUGCACUUACUUAACUUUAUUUACAUGUAUUACCCUCCUUAGUUACUUGUGUGUGUAUGUGGGUCUAUUCAGAUAUGUUUCAUGGGACCAGUGUUGCUACACAUGCCAUUUCUGUAGCCAAUAAUUGCCACAAGGCAGUAAAAGAUACCAUAUUAAUCAGAUGAGGGGUGGCUAUCCUGAGUGCAUUUUUACAUGGGGUUUCAUUCAUUCUCCAUUAAUCCCAUAAACCAGAGUUAAAAUUGCAUGUAUCCCCAAAACUGUUGCUUGAGUUCCACAGUUGCUCAGGUGAAUUAACUAGUGGUGUGUCGCAAGAAGUCUUGCCAUGCAACCACCCCUUGUGUUUUCCUCUUCCCACUUCUUGCUAAGAACAUUUUCCAAAAGUGUUAAGAAUGUCCCUUACUACAUCCCCUUGGGUUGUUGUUGUUUAGUCGUUUAGUCAUGUCCGACUCUUCGUGACCCCAUGGACAAGAGCACGCCAGGCACUCCUGUCUUCCACUGCCUCCCGCAGUUUGGUCAGACUCAUGCUGGUAGCUUCGAGAACACUGUCCAACCAUCUCGUCCUCUGUCGUCCCAUUCUUCUUGUGUCCUCAAUCUUUCCCAACAUCAGGGUCUUUUCCAGGGAGUCUUCUCUUCUCAUGAGAACCCCCUUGGGUUAUGCUUAUGUAAUCACUCUUUUUGUCAUAACUGUUCUGGUUGAGUCUAGCCUUCUGGCUGAAAGCAGGAAUUGUAAUGCAUACCUUUUGUACCUAUGAAGCGGAAGAGGAGAGCAUGGCUGAAGUACAUGCCUUGUCCUUUUUGGAGAAAAUAACUGCAAUUGGUAACUCGCCAGCCACAUGUUCACAAGCAGCUUGGCCACAUGCCUCUUUGCUGUUCUACAUUUGGAGCCUGCUUCCAACAAAUGUCCAUUGGGUGAUGUCAGUCCAUGUGUAUCUCUGUGCACCUACCCUCAUAGCUGAAUAGAGAAGAGUGUAGAUUUUGUGUCUUGUGUGCUCUCUUUGGAGGCUCUCUGUUAAAGCUAAUAAAUAUGUAAGAUCACAUGCCUAAAAUACAAGGCUUUUGCUUUGAUUCAUUUAUCUUUUUUAGCCCAAGUCUCAUUAGCUCUCUUAGUCAAUAAUGCCACGUUUACAAUUAAGAUAUAGAUCUGGAUCCAGAAUUUUUGCAUUUAUAAAACUGUGCUUACCUACCUUCUCCCCAUUGCAUCCCUCUGUGUUCCCCAAAAAGCCUCUUCUGAGAGUCAGGGGCCUGGUGCUUGGAAGGAGAAAGUGGGAGUAAGUAUAGGCAGCUUUUCUAGCAAGACUGUCUCCACAACACUCAUGUUAAGUUUUUGUUUCUGACACCACAUAACUGGGAUGGGGUUGCUGGUCAUACUGAAGUUAAGCUGACCUACUCUAGCUCAUGGGUCACCAAUGUGGCAGGUGCACACCCACUCACAGAGGCUUUCUUUGGCAACUGCAGUGUGCCUUCUAUGGCACUCUUCCUCCUGCCAAAAUUAGCCUUGAAAUAGAGUAUUCUAUUGCAGCCAGUAGAAUAGUUUACAGCGUGUGAGUGUGUGUAUGCCCACAACACCUUUUUCUUUCUACAAAUGUGCCCAUGGGCCCCAAAUGAUUGUAAACCAUUGCUCUAGUCCAGGGGUCAGCAACCUGUGGCCCAUGGGCCACAAGCAGCCCACAGGGGUUGUUUAAACAACCCACAAGCCGCCCCCGAACCGAGCCACCCACUUGUCGAGUCCCCACACUUUGCUAAACCGGUGCAACACGGAGCGGGGACUCGCUUCCGCGGCGCUGGAAAUCACGUCUGCGUAGAUGUGAUCCGGCCCAGGCGAGGUAAAUCUUGCCGACCCUUCUCUAGUCUGCUGAACGUGAAGAUGCAUAUGAAUCAUUAAUACUUUGAGUUGUAACCGGCUGUGUUUUACUCAGAGUAGACUCACUGAAAUUAAUGGCCCUAAGUUAGUCUGAUAGUCUAUUAACUUCAGUAGAACUUCUUUGAUUAGGACUAGUAAACUUCCAGAUUUAUUAGAUUGAAGAAGUCUCUCUUUGACUAUCUUAGAACAACUAUUUGAAGUAUUACAGCAGAUGAAAAUAUACAAAUAUUUAUACAAAAAUAAAAAUGCAGUGAUAUAAGACAGUAUAAACAAUAUCCUUAAAAGCACACCAUGCUGGCAGACAAAACUUCAGGGAUAAUCAACUAAAGAAAGGUGUGAAACUGACCAUCCCAUUUCUUCAAAUGUCUGGGAGUAGUGUACAUUCUAUUUUUAGCUCUAAAAUGGUAAGAGUCCAGGAUAGACUAUACCCAUAUAUUCUUUUCCCCAAACAUGUAAUUCUGCUUUAUAGCUCCCCACAUGGCUUUUUACUGUGUAGCAAAGCCUUCAGACUGUUGUCAGUUCUCAGUCCUGAUUUCCAGUAACGCCUCACCUAGGCCCUAUGUAGGAAGUAAAGGAUUAAACAUCACAUACAAUUGAGAUUUAUAAGAUAUGAAGAUAAGCUUUUUGUUUACUUGUAUAUUUUGUGAUGAGCUCAUGAAGUUAGAGGAGAAACCAGGAAUUCCUUUAUCAGAAUAGUUCCUGAAGAAAGCGUGGUAGGGAAUGUGUUGGUCUUGUACACACGUAGCAGCAAACCAUAGUUAAGGAUUUAGUGUGAAUGUAUGGAUAUUGCCUGCUUUGCUCUUUCCUACUAAUGUGCAGAAGAAGCAGAUAGCAAUCUUUGGCUUAGUAUUGUGCCUAAACUGCAGAUUGUGGAGGAUAUUUUGCUGCAAAGAAACAACAGCUUGCUGUAGAAAGAUUUGUUCUUGGCUUAUUAACCAUAGUUUAUUACAGCAAAACCAACCACAGUAUCUGCUUCAGAGAUACCUGUUAUCUCUGUGUAUGUAUACAGUUCUCACGCAUGCUUAAUGGCCUUAAUGUUAGCUUAUGGGGGUUGCAUGUGGGAAAUAGCAGGGUUUGCCCCUUCCACGUGUGUGUUUGUGUGUGUGUGUGUGUGUGUGUUUGUGUAUUUACAAAAAAGUAGCCCUUUACAGUUUGUGUGCAUGUCUGUGAGGGAGAUUUUAUUGGUCUGCUGUUUACCAUGUUGCUUCUACAGGACAGAUACUUGCAGUUCCAUUCAUAUUUGAUACUUUACAGAGCAUAUCCUUCUCCAUUAGUUUUGCACUACAUAAGAAAAGUCACAUUCGGAGCUCUCUCAGGGGUUAACCUGGCAAUCAUACUUGAGAUUACAUUUUUGCUGGGAAAAUGUCAUAGCAUCCCGUGCUAUGUUUUAGUGAAUAAAUAAUCUGUGCGCUGUUUUCCAGAAGGUACUUUUUUUCCUGCAACACUGUGAGUAGCUGCAAUUUGCACAUUAAGAGUCUAUUUGGUUUUAUUUAUAGGAAUCCUUGUUGUUUGUGGUAUCUUGCAUGCUAUUUUUAUGCAAUAAAUUCCCUUGGUAGUAUCUGUCUUAAGUACCACUGGUAAAUAUAAAACAUGAUAAACAUCAUAUUUACUCUAGAGGAGUCUUAUGAAAAAUAAUACAGUUGUAGUAGAGUAAGCAGAAUAUGCAGAACAGCCAUAUGGCACAAUCUAUGCAUGCUUACUUGGAAAUUAGCCUUGCUGUGUUCGGUGGGGCUUAGUUUUUGUUAAGUGUGUAAGGAUUGCAGCCCUAGUCUCGCUGGUGUAUGGAUGGAUAGGCACAUCUCUGUAUCCUUAAGUGUGUUUUGUUAUAAGACUAACAAUAAUUCUAGAGGUAUUUGAAACACUUCCCUGCAAAUGUUGGUAUUAUAUGCCAUCUUCAGACAUCAUUCAUGUAAUAAUAAUAAUAAUAAUUUUUUAUUUAUACCCCGCCCUCCCCAGCCAAGGCCGGGCUCAGAGCGGCUUACAAGCAAUAAUAAAAACAAGAUGAAUGAUUAUAACUUAAAAACAAAAAUAAAAUACAACAUUAAAAUAAUGGAACAUUAAAAUAUUAAAAUGUAGCCUCAUCGCAGGAGGAGAAGGAAAAGAAAAAAGAAAGAGAGGGAGGGAAGGAAUCAAAUUGGCUCCAAGCCAAAGGCCAGGCGGAACAACUCUGUCUUACAGGCCCUGCGGAAAGAAAUCAGAUCCUGUAGGGCCCUGGUCUCAUGAGGCAGAGCGUUCCACCAGGCCGGAGCCAGAGUUGAAAAGGCCCUGGCUCUGGUUGAAGCCAAUCUAACUUCCUUAGGGCCUGGGACCACUAGGGUGUUGUUAUUUAUGGACCUUGAGGCUCUCCGUGGGGCAUACCAGGAGAGGCGGUCCCGUAGGUACGAGGGUCCUAGGCCGUGAAGGGCUUUAAAGGUCAAAAGCAGCACCUUAAAUCUGACCCUGUACUCCACCGGGAGCCAGUGUAGCUUGAAAAGCACUGGGUGAAUAUGCUCCCAUGGCAGAGACCCCGUGAGGAGCCUCGCUGCAGCAUUCUGUACCCGCUGGAGUUUCUGGGACAGCUUCAAGGGCAGCCCCGCGUAGAGCGAAUUACUGUAGUCAAGCCUGGAGAUGACCGUCGCAUGGAUCACUGUGGCCAGGUCGGGGCGGGAAAGGUAAGGGACCAACUGCUUGAUGCGGCGAAGGUGGAAAAAUGUCGCCUUGGCUGUUGCUGUAACUUGCGCCUCCAUGGAAAGGGAGGCGUCAAGGAUUACACCCAAACUCUUAACGGAAGGCAAUGACACUAAUUGGGCCCCCGCAAGAGAAGGGAGUUGGUCCCUCAUCCCCAUGCCAUCCUGGCCUAGCCAUAGGACCUCUGUCUUUGAAGGAUUUAGUUUCAAUCGGCUCCCACGAAACCAUCCAGCUACAGCUUCCAAGCAUCUGGUCAGUGUGUUCGGGGCCGAGUCGGUGUGGCCAUCCAUCAGCAGAUAGAGCUGAGUGUCAUCAGCAUAUUGGUGACAGCCCAGCCCAAAGCUCCAGAUAAUCUGGGCAAGGGGCGCAUAAAGAUGUUAAAAGCAUCGGGAGAGAAUUGCGCCCUGCGGCACUCCACUCACCAAGGAGUGGCGCGACGACAUUUCCUCCCUAGUGCCACCCUCUGUCCCCGACCAGAGAUAAAAGAGCACAACCAGUUACGGGCUAUGCCCUGUAUCCCCACGUCUGCGAGGCGGUGGUCCAGAAGAUCAUGAUCGACCAUGUCAAAGGCUGCUGACAAAUCUAAAAGGAUCAGCAGUCCUGACCCGCCUCGAUCUAGUUGUCUAUGGAGAUCAUCUGUUAGGGCAACCAGAGCCGUCUCCAUCCCAAAACCAGGACGGAAACCGGACUGAAAUGGAUCUAAUGCCGAUGUUUCCUCCAGAAACCUACCAAGCUGUUCAGCAACCGUUCUCUCAAUUACCUUACCCAGGUAUGGAAGAUUUGAAACUGGGCGGUAAUUGGAUAGGUUUAAGGGAUCUGAUGAAGUUUUCUUUAAGAGUGGACACACUACUGCUUCCUUCAGUUCCCCUGGGAAUGUCCCCGUGUCAAGGGACAAAUUGAUAAUUUCAACCAGGGGGGUCCACGCAACAUCUGGACACUCCAUAAUCAGCCAAGACGGGCACGGAUCAAGGAGGCAGGUGGUGGGCCUACCAACUUGGAGGAAUCUAUCCACAUCAGUAGGGAGUAUCCGAUCGAAAUGGUCCAACACUGGACCUGAAGUCAGUCGAGGGGCCUCCAGUUCAGUCACUGUAUCUAAAUUGGCAGGGAGGUCACGGCGGAGCAACAGGACUUUCUCCGCAACAAGCUCGCGAAUGCCUCACAGCUGUGGGUCGAAUUUGUGCUUAAAUUUGGUUGUCCUCCUAAGGACGUUAUUGACCUAAUUAUUCUAAAAAGUUGUGCCGGGCGAGAGCUAGCGGAUGCAAUGGAAGCUGCAAAGUAAGAUUUCUUAGCAGCUUUCAUAGCCAUCUCAUAGGCUUUCAUAAGCGUCCUAUAAGAUGUUCUUGAGGCUCCGUCACGAGUCCGUCGCCAUACUCGCUCUAGCCGUCUGAGAUCCCGCUUCAUUUUCCGGAGCUCCUCAGUAAACCAAGGGGCCCGGUUUCGACAGGGUCGCAGAGGGCGCUUAGGCGCGAUCUCAUCAAUGGCUGCCAAGAGCCGGUUAUUCCAGUCCUCAACAAGGUCAUCUAAUGAGUCGCCAGGAGGAGCAGGGUUCCGCAAGGCUUGUCGGAAUCUAUCAGGAUCCAUCAGUUUUCGCGGACGAGCCCAAGUAGGUUUGCCACCCGAGCCGGGGAGGAGCGGGAAGUCAAUCUUGGCUUUCAGAGCGUAGUGAUCAGACCAUGGCACUUCCACAGCGGGGAGCAUGAUCACAUCUAUGCCAGCCCCAAAGAUCAGAUCCACCGUGUGGCCUGCUUGAUGAGUGGGGCCCAAAACAAACUGGGAGAGCCCUAGUGUUGCCAUGGAAGUCACUAGGUCCAGAGCCUGUGAGGAGGGAGCGGCAUCGGCAUGGGCGUUGAAGUCUCCCCAAACCAGUAGGUUUGGGAACUCCAAGGCCUAGCCUGCCACCACCUACAGCAGGUCUGACAGGGUGGCUGCAGGUGUGCUGGGUGGUCGGUACACCAGCCAGACAGCCAAGCUCUCCUUGGUGCCCCACACGAGACCAACACAUUCAAUGCCGGAGAUCACCGGUGAUGGCAGAGCUCUGAAAGAGCAAUCCUCCCGGAAUAACCACGCUACUCCUCCCCCCCGACCCACAGUCCGCAAUUGAUGGAGGACAGAGAAACCUGGGGGUGUUAUCUCAUGUAGGGAGACUACUUCGCCUUCCUGUACCCAGGUCUCCGUCACGCAAGCCAGGUCAAUCCCCUGCAAGACAAAAAAGUCACGCAUGGUGGCGGUUUUGUUGCCUAUGGACCUGGCAUUGCACAGCACCAAUGACGGAGGUGUGUAAUCCUUGCUCUCCCUACCCUCAUCCCUUGGGAUGGGGCGUAGAUUGGAAGGGGUUCGAGGAUCACUGCAUCUCGAAACCCUUCGCCCGCCGAUAGAGAUAUCUAGCCCCACCGCCAUUCCUCCCUAGCCCUUCAAUUGUGGAAAUCCCAGAUCCCAUACUAGCUUCCCCAAUAGAUGGGUAACAUCCCCUCAAUAAAAAGUCAUCCUUGGGCCAGGACUCCUGGGUCAAAAUGGUAUGGGAAAGAGGUGGAGGUCUGAUAGGGUAAGUAUCCCUAGAAGAUAAAACCCAACCAACAGCACCCCAAGCGGGGGAGACAGUCCCAUGGUGUUUCAUUAACUGUCAAUCCCCCUCUCCCUCCUGGGUUAAUUGGAGGAUUGUUGGUUCUAUCUGUGGCUGUGGAAGUAUUAAUGAGGUAUGUGUUAUAAGAUGUAGUGGACAUCUUGGUACUCAUAAACAUCAGCAAGCAACAGGAAGUACAUGAAAUACACCAAUGUCAAAUUUUGACUGUAAUUUAAGCUAAUUGCCAGGAGUUUUACUUUGGGCAUUCUUGAUGUUAUUUGUAGUGAUAAAUACAAAUAUGGACAUAAAUACUUUACCACUGGUAAUUCAUUGAUUUGAUUAUCAACUCUGUUAUUCUUAACUAUUAAGUCUAAUUCACCAUAUAUUAAUUGCUUGUUGCCUGCAUUCUUUUGCUGUAAAUGAAAGAAGCACAGCCAAUUUGCAUGGCUCUUCUCUUUGACUCUUCUAUAGUUCUGCUCUACUUUUCCUGAAAUGGUAAGAACUAAAUGCAUUAUUUCAGGGUGCAGUAUUUCACCUGCACAAAAUUGAGUGAUUAUUAUCUUCUCCUGAGUCACUUGUUUUUCUUUACUUUGAUUUUAUGUUCUGUGGUUUUGAAACUAGUUUUGCAACCAGUAUUCCAAUCUAACUAAGAAACUUUUAAUUUUAGUCCUCCCCGCUAUAUUGUUUGUAAUUUCAGUUUUUUGUAUCAUUAGCAGGUUUGACACUACUUGCUGCUUCCUGUAAGGCAUUAAAGAAAAGAGAUUUUUACUUGUUAAAGUUAAUGAACAAAUUAGGGUUACUCUGACUAAAACAUAGUUGAAUCAAAGUAAUAUUUGAAUGCCAAGAUAGGAAAAAAUGGAAGACAACAUUCAUAUGAGUUUGACUCACGUUGAAUUUUGAGGCAUUUAUACUUCAAUAUUAUUUGUUUUUCAACCCAUGCUAAUUGCUGAAAGACCCCACAAAAUACAGUGCUGCAUAUGAAUUGUGAGAAUGACAAUUGUCUAGAAUUGCCUAGAAUUCAUUUUCACAUGGUCGUGUGUAAGGUCGAUCAGGUAGCUUGCAGUUGGUCAAAGCUAAGCACGUGUAUUUAUUUUUCAGCCAGUGUUAUAGAAAACUCAUUAGGUUUGUAGAUAAGCACAAACCAUUUUUUAAAACAGCAAAACAAAAUUGUAUACUGUCAUCUGCAUUGUUCUGUUGACAUCAGAAUCUAUAAUAAUCUAAUACCUGUACUCCUAAAACUCUGCUGCCAUUUAUAAAAACCCUUUAAAGUCUUUGUGGUUUAUUCUUAAUAUCCAGUCUAUCAGCUUUUGACACCAUACAUUUGUACACAACCUGAAAAGUGUGUCGUUUUAGAAUUGAUGGUAUGGUAAAGCCACAACAACCAUCUCUCAAGGUUUACUAAAUCAUUCUUGAGGGAUUCCAAAAUGAAUAAACAUAACAGGAUUGAUGGUAGUUUCUAAAAUUAGAUCUAGGCCUUCUCGUCCUCUGCUUCUUCCACUGGCACUUGAGCCCCCUGCUUCAGUCUGAAAAUUAUACAGCCUAUUUGUAGCUUUACUACCACAGUCAUAAUUAGAUUAUUGAGCCAGCUGCUUAAAACAUUGUAUCAUAGUGAUGUGGCAUGGAUACCGCUGUUUCAUAAUACCUUUUCCUGGGGGUCCACAAGUUAUGUCCAGGCUUGAUAGGAAAGUAAUAAUAAAAAUUCUACUAGCCUGCAAGGAGCAUCUGUGCAGAGUGCUGCCCUCUUUCUUCCAACAAGUGCUACCUGCCACUAUCACAGAAUUAAGGAGAAAGACUAGCAACACAGAGGGCAUAGCCCUCAGUCCGUUCUGAAAAUUAAGCAGCACAUAUAAUCUCUGCAAGUUUGGUACAGCUAGAGAACACCCACCCACUCCCUGAAAAUUACCAAACUCGUAAACCCAUAGCUCUGCAGGAUUAAAAUGCUCCUCUUCCCUUAACUCUCUAGUUCCAUUGCCUUAGACCACCUUGCUGUUCUCUGUAGCCAUCCUGACCAAGGUCUUUACUUGUACCAGAUCAGGCUAAUAACUUCUAUGAGUUUAUUUAUUUAGAAGGCUGAAAUAGUACAAGGCAGCUGUGUUCAAAGUGCUUGGAUGUGGGUAGUUUGCAAACACAAAUCAGACAGAUGUUACUGAAUGAACAACUUGGCAGGUGUGAGCAGGAUCCCAAGUAGAAAUACUUAACAGCCACAUGAGCUUCUUUGUGGAAACAUAACCUGACCCAUCUUAGGCUUGACUAAAUCUGCAUUUUAAGGCUUUUCUCCUUUGACCUACACCUUUAGUUUAUUCUAUACGACUUAGCUAAAUAUGCACUUAAGCUUUCAUACUUUAAAAUGAUAUGCCAGCUUCUUUCCUUUUACUUUUAGCUAUAGUCUAGGUUUAACUGCAGUUGAUGCUUAAUGGCUCCAACAGAGCUGAGAAGCUCUAAGUUGUUACGUCUUUAUUUCCUCAGGACUCUGCUUUCCAUUUUUGGUGACUGUUGAGCAGAUUUCAGCAGAUAGUGCCACCAACUUCUGUUGCUGACUGAUGCUUUAUUGGUAAAAGCUUGUUUUUUUAAAAAAAUAAAAAUGGCAGAGUUCAGUUGCUGUUUUACUUUCUCAGCUUCUCAAGUACAUUUUUGAACAUGAGUCAGCUGCUAGCUCAUGGGGAAAAAAGUACUUGUUUAGUAGUUAACAGAAGAACACACAUUUUUUUAAAAAAGAAGGGUUAAAUGCAUCAGAUUUUAAUAGGAGUGAUCUCUUGUGUGGGUAUCAUUUAACUGCACAGCUACAGAAUGCCCUCUGCUGAACAUGUGUGCAAGUAAAGGAGUAAGAAUCACUCUUAGCAGAUUGUAGGAAGGCAUUUUAAGCAGGAUUUCAAACCAGGCCUUGAGGUAUGCAUACAAAUUAGUUUUUUAAAUAGAUGCAGCAGAUUGGUAAUUUGAAAAUGCAGGUCACUUUGAAUUGCAACAUUUUCCAUUAUUUUUAGCAUAUUUGAAUGGUUAUUUUCAUUAUAUAGCUAUCCUUUACCAUCCGGGAAAACUUUAUUCUGUUUUAUAUUCAGCUAGAUGUAGUUAUUCAAGUUCUGUCUAAAAACAAUGUUUCAGCUUUGGUUUUCAUUUGAAAUUAAUGCAGCCAGUAUUUGUGAUUACAUAUAUAAUGCAGGUUGUCGCACACAUGUCACUUGUUAACAUAUUAACAGACAUACUGUAAAUCUUACCACAUUCCUUGCUGUUCUCCUCAGCUCUUCCUGUCUUCAUAGAAUUGUAGAGUUGGAAGGGACCCUGAGGGUCAUCUAGUCCAACCCCUGCAAUGCAGGAGUCUGCCCACAGUCAUCCCUGUGUGGGCUCGAACUACCAACCUUCUGGUUAGCAGCCAGGUGCACUGACCCAUUGCACCACCUGAGGGAUAAAGACAAACCUUAACUGCCAACAUGCACUUGAGCUGUGACCUCCAGAGAUGAAGAUGAUUUCAGAUAUUGUAUAGAGUGGAGUAGAGGCAUGAUUUCCUAGACCCAAUAUGAUUUUGAUGUUUUAUUUGGUUGCUACUAGGGUCUGUGGCUGCGUAAACUAAAGCUUGCACAGUCUCAUGUGGAUUUAGAAACAGGAUUAUCCAACAGUGAAGUAUUAGCAAUGUAUGUUGUUCUUUAUGUGACUCUUGGGAAUAAGGACACUUGACCAAAUUAGCAAUGAUUGAGUGAGCCAAUGAGUAGGUGGUUAUGAUUUCCGUUUUCUCUCCUUAAAUUUGGUAACCUUUAAAAUGUUAUCUAAAGGUAUGGGGCAGACAUGUUUUGUUGCAGCUGGGCCAGAUGAAGGUGUGUUGUGCUGCUGCAGAUGCACCAUGGCGUUUCUGAGGAAGGAUAAAGGAUUUCACUGUCAAUAGGGUUUAUGUCAAUAGGCUUCCAUCUUAAAACACAUUGACUCUUGCAAAUAAGGAAGAGGUCUUUCUUCAGGCAAAUAGCCGUCCAGGCUGAGCAGCAAACACUAGGUCCAGAAUGCAAGAUUUCAAGGUACAUGAGCAAGGCAAGAGGUUCAUAAAAACAGAAGUGAUGAAGGUGUCCCUUUUGCCAAGCUUUUAAAGAUGACAACUGGUUCAGUUAUAGGACUCUCUUGCUCUUUGAGCCUGCUGCACACAUAUGCUCUGUUGGAGUGGAUGCCUCUGAUCCCACCUAUGAAGGUGGCAAUGGGAUCUUGGUGACAAGGUUGUCUUCUGCCCCUUUGCCUCCAGCGCUGGCACCAUCACUUCCUGCCCAGGCCCUCUCUGGCUGGUCAAGGUCUCUCUCCCUCACCCCUAAGACUGUUCACUCUGCAGGAAGGGCAGGGGAGAGAGCUGGCAGUGCUGCUUCCUUCCUCUGUCAUCUAGAGUUCCCUAGGUGCCAGCUUUCUGUUCUCCCAUCUUCUGCUACUUCCGCUUUCUCUUCUGUUUGGAACAGCCAAAUCAUGCCAGUUCUUGAUGAAGCCAAGGUUCCCGUGAUACCUAUUGCUCUGGUGCUUUCAAAAUGUGGCUAUGAUGAAGACAUUGCUUGCAGAAAUGUUUUUUUUUUUUUUUUUAAGCAAGUCCUUGUUUACUCACAUAAUUGCCAGUAUUUCAGUUUUUGGCUUUGUUCCGUAUUCACAUGUUGGGUGUUGUCAGAUGCUGCUAAUUUUUCAAUCCAAUCUUGUGGCAAGAACAUUAAGUCAGAGUACAUUUUGGUUAUGGAGUAAGGAAAGGCAACUGUAAGCAUUUAUCGGAAACUUGGGUAUUUCCUAAAAUAUAAUCUCAGCCAGAUGUCUUUUCUUAAUGUGUCUGCUCAGCUUGGAUAAAGACUGAUGUUUUAAAGCUUUUGAGAUAAUACUCAAAUCAAGAAGAUAAGUAUGAAAAAAAGAGAUCUUCCAGAGAUGACUGGGAAUUUUUGUUGUUGCUUCUGCUUUCGGUGUUCCUCAACACCAGCUGCAGGGUUACCUGAUACAAGCUCUGUCCAGCAAGCCACUAAGCUCCUGAAUUGCAAACAGAUGCCCAUUCUAUUGCGUGUGCCUAGGACAGUUUACACAUUACCUGUUUGUUUCCUUCAUACCUUAGUUUUUUCCCCUUCUGACUGAUGAUUCUUUGUUCCUGCUCCCCUCUCUUAAAUAUCUCCCCUGCCUUUAAGGGGAAUCAGAUAACCUCUAACUCUGCUUUCUCAGCUAACCAUGGAUUUGGUUUUCCUGUACUUCAAAAAGCUGCACUAAUACCAGGUAAAAUGUGUGGCACUACCCAGAGCUCAUUCAUCUGAGAACAGUUUGACUGCUGAGACCCUCUGCUUCCAUUGUGCAGCAUUCUAAUAAGGGAAUGUUCCCUGUUCAUAUUUUAUUCACAUGUAUCUGAAAAUUAAUGCACCCUCUUCAUUCUUAAACUCAGAGGAAUAACAAAGUUGGUGUCAUGGUUAACACAGAGUGCCAAAGAUUUAUUUAUAGAAGAAUAUAGUAUCUUACAGUUUGAAAACACAGGUACCAGGAGGGAAAAAUACAGCCAAGCACAUUUCAUAUAAAAUUCCGGAAACAUACUACUUUUGAUAAAAGAAUUGGUGAGGUGAGCUUAAUAUUUGAUAUGUCACUAGUAAUUGCAGAUGUAAGGUGAAAAACCAGUAGUCAGAUACAUCUGAGAAUGAGGAGCAAUGUGCUUAAACUGACUUCAUUGUAUUCUCAAGUCAAGUGGAAAAACAAAACGCAGGCCUGGAAUCCUGCAAAGGUCAAACUAAUUUUCAGUCGUAUGACAAUGGGUAAUCUUGCUAGCAAUGGAAAGAUGAUUGUAAAGUCUCCCUGGUUUCCUUCCUUUACUGCCAUGAUUUAUUUUUCUGGUAAUUUAGACUCCUUCAGACAACAUUUUGCCAUGUAAUUUAGUUUAGCAGGAUUCUUCUGCAUAGUUGUCUGUAGUAUGCUGAUUGUUUUCUUUAACUAUCAGAUGACUUAGGCACUGAAAAUGCUGUUAAUGGAGAUAUUGAUUCCUAAUUGUUGCUCUAACGCAAAGCUUGGUUUUCACGUCCAUGUUAGGUAGUAAACAAAAGUAUUUUACUCCACAUGAAGACAUGAAAAACACAUAUUUUUGCAGUUACAUGGUACUGGUAUUCUUUUCUGCUGCUUUCAUUUGUUUAAUACCUUUAGACAUAGGUUUGGGGUGCUCCUGGUUCUGUCUUCGUCACUUGAGGCACAUGUGGCCUCAGUAGCUAGGAGUACCUUUUACCAGCUUUGGUUGGUAAUACAGCUGUGGCUAUUCCUGAACCAAGAUAGCUUGGCCACUGUGAUCUUGGCACUGGUCACCUCAAGACUGUCUUACUGCAGUGUAUCCUAAGUGAGCCUUCCUUUAGGUCUAACCCAGUGAGUAGAAUAGAAUAAUAGAUUAAUAGUGCUGGAAGGGUCCAAAUUGUCAUCUAGUCCAAUCUCCUGCUACACAGGAAUCACAGCUUAAGAAUUCCAAACAGAUGGCCAUCCAACCUCUGUUUAAAAACUUGAAAUAAAGGAGAGUCCAUCACCUUCUGAAGUAGUCCGUUCUACUGCUGAAUGGUUCGUGUAGGAAACUGUUCUUACUGAACAGUUCUUACAAUACAGUGGUACCUCAGGUUACAUAUGCUUCAGGUUACAUACGCUUCAGGUUACAGACUCCACUAACCCAGAAAUAUUACCUCAGGUUAAGAACUUUGCUUCAGGAUGAGAACAGAAAUCGUGCUUCGGUGGCGCGGCGGCAGCAGGAGGCCCCAUUAGCUAAAGUGGGGCUUCAGGUUAAGAACAGUUUCAGGUUAAGUCCAGACCUCUGGAACGAAUUAAGUACUUAACCUGAGGUACCACUGUAAGUUCUUACUGACUAAUGUUUAGUCAGAAACCCAUUUCUUGUCGUUUGAAUCCAUGUGUUUGGGUCCUACUCUCUGGAGAAGCAGAAAACAAGCUUGCUGCACUUUCCGUGUGAUAGCACUUUAGAUAUUUAUAAAUGGCUAUUGUUAUCUUGCCAUUGCUCCUCUUGCCAACUUGAUACUCUUUCCUGCGACUCUACUCUCAACCUCAUGUUCUUUGUGCUACCACCAGUAUACUUUGAUUGUCUCAACUCCAGACUGACAGUGGGUACAGAGCCUCUGAAAUGCUGCUGUUAAAAACAGGGCUGUGCAUUGGCAGGUGAACAUAUUACUACUCUGUGACUACUGCCAGCUGAGGGAGGAUUAUGGUGGAAAUAGCAGUUCACUUGUUCAGCACUUUCUUCAGAUAGUCUGAUAAGUGCUAAAUUAUCUGUACUUCCCCGAGUGGUCCCUGAGAUGGCCUGGAAAGUGGAAGAAGCAAUCAGGCUUUGGAAGAAGUCAGAAGACAGCAUUGUUCCAUGCAAGAAAAGGACAUUGUUGUUAAAUGCACCUUUGCUACUGUAAUGACCUAUAGCCACAUGUAGACCUGAAGGAACUUCCAGCAGAAAUAUUUGAAACACUUUCCCCGAGUUUUCAGCUUUGAUUUCUUUUUCUCAAAUCCUGCAGUCCUUUGACUUAGGGGGAAGGGAGCAGAAACAGAAUAUUUGCAGGAAGUAUUCUGUCUAACUUUGUAAGUGAUAAUCCAACUCCUGUGUUCAGAUAUUUUAUUGAAAUAAUUUAACUCAACUGUUAUUACAUUUAGUCGGUUUUGUAUUGUCUUUCGUUGCCCCAGUUUAUGCCAUCCUACCAUAUUUCCCCCAAGUUGGUAAGUCUCAUCUGACAGCAACAACAACAAAAAAUGAGCCUUUAGUCUCACUGUCCCAUCCCUGUGGAAUGCUCUGCCAAAAGUCUGCUGAAAACUUUUUAUGCUGCUAAGCUUAUGCAGGCAAUUAAGAAAAUAUCUUUCUUAAUAUCUUGAUUUUUAAAAAACAAACAUUUUUAGCAUAUAUAUGUAUGGUUGAUGUAAACUGCUUUGAUAUUUUAAAUGAAUAGUGUUUUUUAAAAAAUAAGUACAACAUAAAAUGUAUGACCAUAAUACUAUGUUCCUUCCUUCAUUAAAAUGUUCAGGAAAAGAAUGUUACUAAAAUUAUACUUUACUACUCAGCUGCAAAAUUUGUGACGUCUUUUGACCUGGUAUGCCAUACACUUCUUCUGUGGUGGUUGUCAUAUUGCUGACUAAAUUUGUACAUAAUUUGCAAAGAAAAGUCAUUCGUGUACUUCACUGCCCUUAGUAGAGUGUUAGCAAAAGUUUUUUUCUGUAUCACAGAGAGUACAGUUUGUAGGCUGCAUUGGAAAUCAUUUGCUAAGCAAUAGCUUACCUACAUAUUAUCAGGAAUGCUUUACUGUCCUGUGUAAUAUUCUAGUCGUUUGUGCAAAAUGUAUCUGCAUCCAUCACUGUUGUAGAACCCUGGCAAUUGGAAAAGUGCUGCAAGGAAAGGUAGCUCAUGCAAGAAAUUAAGGGAUCCUAAGCUUCAUUCACUUGACACUCUCAUGUACAUAGAAUUAAAAGGAAGUGACACCAUACUUUAUAAGGAUGUAUCUCACAUAGCCUGCAAUACUAAAAUGCUGUACUUGAAAAUGGUUUAGUGGCGCAUGUGCAAACCCCAUUCAUGAGAGUGCCUAGUCCCCAUGCCUUCAUUUAGACCAGGGGUAGUCAACCUUUUUAUACCUACCGCCCACUAAUGCAUCUUUCUUGAUGGUGAAAUUUCCUUAACGCCCACCAGUGCUCGAUGGAAGGAGGAUUCAGCUUGUGCUGUAGAACCCCCUACCGCCCACCUAGAAUCCUGAAACGCCCACUAGUGGGCAGAAGGGACCAGGUUGACAACCCCUGAUUUAGAGGAGAAUUUCAGAAGCAAGCGUAUAGCAUGAGGCUUGACAGUCAUACAUGUAAAAAUGAUCUUAGAAUUGCAGCUGAUCAUAAACUUGAACAUGUUUUGACAGUGGUGAUUCUGCCAAAAAAGAUGGAGAGAGAAAUGGUAGCAUGAUUUUAAUAGAACUGCAGUUCCCAAGUCAUAGGAUGUAAUAUGCUAGUCAAAUCUUAUCUGGAGUGCUGUAUCAAGUUCUUGGCAUCAGUGCUUCAAGAAGAAUCUAGACAAAUUGCAGCAGGUACAGAUGAGGGCAGUGGUGAGAUGUCACUUGAUGUGGUUGAAAUAAGUGGGUGAAAUUAAUGGUAUUUGGUCAAUGGAACCAAUUGCCUAAGGGAGUGGGUGGACUGGCUCUCCCUCACUGCAGGUUUGCAAGCAGAGGCUGGACAGUAAUUUGUUUCAGAUGCUGUAGCUCUGGGUGUCCUGCAUCAGGAAGGGGUUAGAAGCCUCCCAGCCAAGUUUAUGAUCCUCAGAAAUCAGCUUCAAGUGAUUUGUCUCGUUUAAAAUGUGUGCCAAUGCAAGGACCUUCAGGUCCAAGAAGAGAUGCCUGACUUUUAAGUUACAGAUUUGGAGCUUGCUUAAUCCAUUUGGAUUGAGAAGUAAGGGACUACUCUUCUCCCUUCAAGCUGACUGUUCUGUGACCUUUUGCUAAUUUGUAAUUAGUGUGAUGUAAAAAACAGUCCUAAAGUUCAGAAGAGUAGGUGUUGCCCACUAUUUUUAUUUUCUCCCCAGGCAAGCUUCUAUGUUUUGUUCUGCUUAGCUUGAAAGGUCUGCCUUGGUUCUCAAACACAAUGUGGAGUACCCCCCUGGACUGCAAAAACAGCUCUUGUCUCUUGCUGAGUCUCCUGCUUCCUGUGGUUUGCUACUGCAGUUCUUGCAGGCAUCAGGCGGGUACCACACACCCUGCAGGUUCAUUCUAGUAAAAGAAAACAAUUCUGGCUUUUUGUUCAGAGGCACCUUGAUACAAUAAACACACAUGUAUCUGUGAGCCUAAUGCAUCCAGUUCUAUAUAAGAGAGGGUUGUGCAGUGCUAACAGUAUUAACAAGGAACAUUCCUUGAAGGAAUGAGAAUUGGAAUUGUUUUAAUAGAUUAGAAUUAUAUGAAGACACAGCAUGUGGCUGUUGGCCCUAUAUGGGCAAAAGGACAAUAUUUGGUUUUGGGGUGUGUGUGUGUGUUUUUGCUUUGUUUAAUCACUUUUUUAUAUACUGAUAUAAAGCCACAUCUGCCUGGCUCUAUUUUCUGUUAAAUUGUCUGUAAACAGAAUAAGGAGCCUUGAGGCUAUGCAAAAGUGAAAGAUACGUAUGGAGAAAUUGCAGAUAGCUCUUCAGAGGAAGGUGAAAAGGCUAAGGUGAGGGGAAAAGGAGGUUGUUCUAACAAUAUGAAUGGAAGAUUGCAGCAUGAGAUACAUGAUUAUUUAGAUUUGGCAGCAGUCCCAAAUUGAUGCAAAGAACAUCUAAGGACAUGUCUAGUGAUGAAUAAGUUCCAUUGGGUCUCUGCUAAACAAGGUUAGGAUUGCAGCCUACUACAAUGGUAAUCCUGAACACUGUAUAAUAAACUUGGUGAAAAACCUUGGUGUUUUCUUCCUUUCCAAUAUUGUUUGCCUAUUUAAAUUUGCCCAUUAACAGCUCUCAGGUGUGUGUGCACUUGCAGAAUAAUGCUGCUGCCAGCCUGACCCCUCUUGACCUCACUAUCAUGUCACCCCAUCCUGCUGAGCAGCAAUGCUGCCAGGAGAGCACCAAAGCCACUCUGCCCCCUCAGUGCAUUGAUUCCGUUGGUAAAAAUCAAGGCCUUCGCAUGACAAUUUUUCUUGUUUCACAGAAAGACUUCUGCAAUAUAUGCCCUUGUUGGUGUGCCGUGUCACUGGCCUCUUUCAAAAGAAUUAAUAAAGAUCUCAGUUUGGAGAGACAAGUUUGUCCCUGUGUGCAAAUUGUGGGAUAUGUUUAGCAAAUAAUAACAUCUUGGAGAUCCUGGGCCUCAGGGAGAUUAGGCUUGCCUCGGCCUUGGCUCCGGCCUGGUGGAAUGCUCUGUCACAAGAGAUCAGGGCCCUGCGGGAUUUGACAUCUUUCCGCAGGGCCCGCAAGACGGAGUUGUUCCGCCAGGCCUUUGGUCAGGGCUCAGCCUGACUCCCCUUCUCUUUUUGUAUAAGAACUAGAAUGAAAGAGGCCUCCCAGCAUUCUCAUAGGCCUAUAUAAGGACAGCGUAAACACCUGGGCCUGAUGAGCAUUUACUGUUCCCAACCCUAAUCCUGCAGAAAGCCAUCUAAUUAGAUUUUAAUUUGAUCCUGACUUGUUUUUAGGAGGUAACUUAAUUAUUGUUUGAUUUUAUACCAAUGUUAUAUAUCUGAUGUUAGCCACCCUGAGCCCAGUUUCGGCCGGGGAUGGUGGGAUACAAAUAAAAAUUGAUGAUGAUGAUGAUACAGAGGAAGCUGAAGCAGCAGUAUAUGCCACCCAAAUCUGCAAGACAUGCCAUGCAAUUCUAAACGUAUAGUAAUUACAAGCAUAUUCUGUUUAUGGUGAAGAUGUGUGUGAAGAGAAGAUAGAAUGUGUCCCUGUAGCUUAUAAGAACUGACAACUUCACCAUCAGUGUGCCAUUGGACAGGGGACUUCUGGCUGGGAUACUGAAAAACAUUUGAAAUUUCCCUGAAAUUCUUUGCCUGCAAAUCUAGAAAUGUCAAGAAUGGCAUUUUUAGUUUCAAAAAUUGGUUUGUAAGUUGUGUUUAAAAGAAUGGGAAGUAUUUUCCUUUGAAUGGGAAGUAUUUUUUAGACACAGCUGCUUUGUUUAGCAUAUCAAGAGAAGCAGCCACAGAACUGACUGGACUUGCUACAGCUGACAGGGGGAGGUGUCAUCUUUGUGGCCAAAGUAAUAAUAGACAAUUGGAGCAGUGAACUGCUCCAUGUAACCAUUUUGUCUGCCCCACUUGUGCAGUUAUGAAACGUGAUUGUGCAUAGGUUGCUCAAGUAAUGUGGCUCUAAUGGCUGGUCCACCUUUCCGUUGUGGGGGUCAGUACAUUUGCAGAAGAAGGUACCAGGCCAGGAGGCAGCACUCCGAGUGAGGUGGGACUUCUAGUCAAUGAUUAUCUAGCCCUGCUAUAAAACUCAGCCAGUUGCUCCACGAUCAUGUUAAUACAAUCUCAGUGUUCAGCCUCAUAUGCAGGUCCUCAUAUCCACACUUUAAUCUUACCCUGCCUCACCAUCUGCUUGCUUGACGAACCAGAAACUAUGGCCAUCACCUCUUUUGAGUUGGGGGCAUCUUGGUGGAUCACACUUGACUAUAUUUUACUGGGAAAGGAAAUAUCUCAAGGAUAGCAUGAUUUAUUCAUUUUUAGUCUGUGAAGUCACAAUGUGAUGCAGCAUUUCAUAACUCAAAGCAAAAGUUCUUUAUUUUGUUGUUAUUCUUUAGAAGUGACUAAAAAUCAAGGUAUACAUUGCUAAACUGGCUCUUAUAACCAGCUGGGAAUCAUUGUUUUGCUUAUACUUUAAUUAAAAGAAACCCACACACCCUAAUUGGGUAGCCUGGCCUGGCAAUCUUCUGUGUAGAUUCCACUGAGGCAAACUUACUUUUCCAUAGUACACAUACUUACUAAUUUUGUUUGGAAGUCUAACACUUACAUAGAAGUUGCACACUAAUUGUUUGCUCCUUACUGGAAUUUCUCAUCUCCUCUUACAGUAGGAUAUGCCUUAAAAACAGGUAUGGAAAACCUGUAUUCCUCCAGAAGUUGUUGGAUUCCUGUCAGCCCUAGCCAGCUAUGCCAGUGGUGAGGAUGAUGAGAACCAUAGUCUAACAACAUCUGGAUGUUGCUAAUUUUGCAUUACAGUACAAGUUAUUUUCCUUCUCUCUACUUUCAUAGUGAUAAAUACCUUACUCUGCAUUUUAUUACAAAAUCAUCUUCUUACUCUGAAGAAACCAGAGGGAUUGACAUGCGUAGAAAGAGCUUCAACUAAUAUCGAGCCAUGGAUUCACAGUGGUGCAACCCCAUUAUUCAUUUUGGUACUGGCUAAUGAACGCAAAGACAAUAUCGACUACAUGUCCUGGUUUUGAUUAAUUUUCCUUUGUGUUGUGUCACCCAUGGCUGUUGUCAUUCAUUCCCUCCCCUUUUCAGACAAUAUCCUUGUGUAUUCCAGGUAUCAGAUUUGAUCCAUCCAUCAGCUGUCACUACCUUGGCAGAGAUUCCAAAUGUAUUUUCUGUGCAUGUCUUUUAAGAAAAAAGUAAUGUGGCCACACGUACAUGUUGCAGGGCAUGUGCACACUAUAUCAUCAUGCCCCCUGGUGUGUGCUCACUAUGUCGCCAUGCCCCAUUAUGUGUGGAAGUGAUGUCAGCAUGCUAUGGGGUGUGAUGAUGUACUGUGUGCAACCCAUGGUCUGCGUGGGUGCAUGCCCCGGUGACGGUGCGUGGCCCUGGGCACCCACGGUCAUGGGGGCAAGCUGAUGCCAUUGGCCUCAGAGAGGAGCUUACAGCUGCUUUAAUCUUCCUUGUUCUUUUUUUACACCUAUACCAAGUUUGGCUUGGCUUGUCCGAACCUGGGUUUGUGAUUCAGUUAUUUCCAUGCUAACUACAAGCUGUAGCCAAAGUCUGUUCUUGGAUACAGUGGUACUUCGGGUUAAGUACUUAAUUCGUUCUGGAGGUCCAUACUUAACCUGAAACUGUUCUUAACCUGAAGCACCACUUUAGCUAAUGGGGCUUUCUGCUGCUGCCACGCCGCCGGAGCAUGAUUUCUGUUCUCAUCCUGAAGCAAAGUUCUUAACCUGAAGCAAUAUUUCUGGGUUAGCGGAGUCUGUAACCUGAAGCGUAUGUAACCUGAAGUGUAUGUAACCCGAGGUACCACUGUAUUUGUGGAACAUGACCUUUGUAGCCCAUUCUUGUUAAGAAGUGGCAUGCCAAAUUGUGCAUCAGCUUUAAUUCCCGAAGAGUCCACCACCACUCAUUUCAUACUGUUAGUUUUGAUAGUGCCUUUUUCUAUCUCAUGAACAAGAGAUGCUAAACGAGUCAGUAAUCAGGUACUCUUGAUACAGUGUCCAUUGCAUGGCAUUUCCAUAGUACUGUGGAUAUUAAUUUAUACAUAAGCAAAAUUAUGAGAUCACCAAAAUCAAGAAAAAUAACAAUAUUCCUUCAAAACAUAACUAGGCUAUUAACAAUAUUUCAGACGUUCGGCCACUGGGUCGAUGUUCGCUCCCUGUAUAAGAGACCUCUGUUGAACAAAUGACCUGGAAAAGUGUUUCAUAACAUGUUUUCCCAAUGUAAUUUUUAAAAUGUAGUCUUUAAACCCCAAUAUUUUUUUAAAAAUAGUAAGUGGUAAGAGGUAAUAUGAACACUAACCAAGUAGGAAAUACAUUUCUCAACAUGGCAGCAUAGACUUAACCGUAGUCAUAUUCCGCAGUGCAGAACCACAUGGGCAGAACCACAAGGGCAGGGCUGAAGAACAGUUUUGCCUUGCUAGCAAGUUCCUUUGCAAGAUGGAUUAUUCUAUAUCAUUUAUUAAAUUUGUAUACCACCCUUCAUACGAAGAUCACAGGGCAGUUCACAACAUAACAUGCUGGAUGUGGGCACUGAAUAUAAAAACAUUUUCUGAAGGUUAAUAAGUAUUUAAUAAGAGGAUUAAAACUAAGUUAAAUUAAAUGAGAUGCAAAGUCUAUUUAAAAAACUUAUAAAGGUUUAUCUGCCUGCACAAUUUAGCUUUCCAUUCAUUCAGGGCUCAAUUUAAAGUUCUGGGUUAUGACCUUUAACCCCCUGAUGUGGUUUUGAACUGGGGUGUUUGAAGUGUAAUGAAAUGUGCAGUUCACACAUGCAACCCAGACUCCUUUCAGGAACUUUUGACACUGAGACCUGAGGAUGUCUCGAAAGUAGCACUUCAUGGAGUCAAAGAAUACCACAGAGUAUCAUUCAAGCAAUUUAAUAUAAUAAAAGGGAAUUAGCAUAUUCAUUAAAAAGAUGUUAAACAGAAUCAAUUGACACUGACUUUUAUAAGUAAUGCACUAAUGUUAGACUUAACUCUUUGAAACUAGCCUCACCAUUCCAGAUAACACAAGCAGCACGGUGACCAGUAUACUAGAUAGCACUGCAAUUCUUAUUGCAUAAUAUACAUAAUUUAGUACAACAAAAACAAAAUGUGUACACUUGUAAAUUCUCUCAUAUAUUUGAAGUCAAAUGAACACACGUCUGUCAAUCUUUGAAAGUCCGUAGAAGUAUAAUAAGUCUAUAUAUUAGAGAAUUUACAAGUGUACACAUUUUGUUUUUGUUUUUGUUGCAUUAAAUUAUGUAUAUUAUGCAAUAGUAAAAUUUUAAAAGAUGAUGCUGUUAAGGUGCUAACACUCAAUAUGCCAGCAAAUUUGGAAAACUCAGCAGUGGCCAGAGGAUUGGAGAAGAUCAGUCUACAUCCCAAUCCCAAAGAAGGGAGGUGCCAAAGAAUGCUCCAACUACCGCACAAUUGCACUCAUUUCACACGCUAGCAAGGUUAUGCUUAAAAUUCUACAAGGCAGGGUUAAGCAGUAUGUGGACCGAGAACUCCCAGAAGUGCAAGCUGGAUUUCGAAGGGACAGGGGAACCAGAGACCAAAUUGCAAACAUGCGCUGGAUUAUGGAGAAAGCUAGAGAGUUCCAGAAAGACAUCUACUUCUGCUUCAUUGACUAUGCAAAAGCCUUUGACUGUGUCAACCACAGAAAACUAUGGCAAGUUCUUAAAGAAAUGGGAGUGCCUGAUCACCUCAUCUGUCUCCUGAGAAAUCUCUAUGUGGGACAAGAAGCUACAGUUAGAACUGGAUAUGGAACAACUGAUUGGUUCAAAAUUGGGAAAGGAGUACGGCAAGGCUGUAUAUUGUCUCCCUGCUUAUUUAACUUAUAUGCAGAAUUCAUCAUGCGGAAGGCUGGGCUGGAUGAAUCCCAAGCCGGAAUUAAGAUCGCUGGAAGAAAUAUCAACAACCUCAGAUAUGCAGAUGACACAACCUUGAUGGCAGAAAGUGAGGAGGAAUUAAAGAACCUUUUAAUGAGGGUGAAAGAGGAGAGCGCAAAAUAUGGUCUGAAGCUCAACAUCAAAAAACGAAGAUCAUGGCCACUGGUCCCAUCACCUCCUGGCAAAUAGAAGGGGAAGAAAUGGAGGCAGUGAGAGAUUUUACUUUCUUGGGCUCCAUGAUCACUGCAGAUGGUGACAGCAGUCACGAAAUUAAAAGACGCCUGCUCCUUGAGAGAAAGGCGAUGGUAAACCUAGACAGCAUCUUAAAAAGCAGAGACAUCACCUUACCAACAAAGGGCCGUAUAGUUAAAGCCAUGGUUUUCCCAGUAGUGAUGUAUGGAAGUGAGAGCUGGACCAUCAAGAAGGCUGAUCGCCGAAGAAUUGAUGCUUUUGAAUUAUGGUGCUGGAGGAGACUCUUGAGAGUCCCAUGGACUGCAAGAAGAUCAAACGUAUCCAUUCUUCAGGAAAUCAGCCCUGAGUGCUCACUGGAAGGACAGAUCGUGAAGCUGAGGCUCCAAUACUUUGGCCACCUCAUGAGAAGAGAAGACUCCCUGGAAAAGACCCUGAUGUUGGGAAAGAUUGAGGGCACAAGAAGAAGGGGACGACAGAGGACGAGAUGGUUGGACAGUGUUCUCGAAGCUACCAACAUGAGUCUGACCAAACUGUGGGAGGCAGUGGAAGCCUGGCGUGUUCUGGUCCAUGGGGUCACGAAGAGUCGGACAUGACUAAAUGACUAAACAACAACAACAACAUAUUAUGCAAUAAGAAUUGCAGUGCUAUCUAGUAUACUGGUCACUGUGUUGCUUGUGUUGUUUGUUGUGUUGUUUGUUGUUGUUUGCAACACAGGGGUUUGUUGUUCUGUAUCACCAUUCCAGAUGAAAGUUCCAAAAAGCAUGCACAUAGAAACUCUUGGAUGCAGUAAAUUGGUCAGGGAAAGUGCGUGUGCUGACUGAAGCUAGCUGGGGUGGGGGGCAGAUUUGACUGAAGAGAGAGAAGAGGUAUAGUACCUGUCUUUAAUUUUGGAAGGAACAGCUUGGCAUUGAGGGUAUCUCUCCAGCAGAAGAAAGUGAUUGAGAAUGCAUAAGAAGGGGAAAGGGGGAAUAUAAGACGGGGUUCCUGUGCGGAAAGUUUCUUUCACAGCUCCAAAGAUUCUUAGUUGCUAAGGCAAAAAGCUGUGGUUUUAUGCCCGAAGUCUGCUUCCCUUGUCUUGUUUGUCUUCCCAUCACAAGGGAUUGUAAUAGCUCUGUCUCCAUUUCAACUUUUCACAUUGCAACACCCAGGACUGACUGACUGGAACUUGCUUGUAAACACAGAUGGAGACACUGUAGAUAAGUAGAUAAAUAUGACAUGCAACCCUUCGUCCUUGCCAGUACCAGGGUGUCUUAUAACAUAUGCACAGAUAAAACCAGCUAUGCCAAAUGUAAAACUUUAAAACUACAAUACAAUAAAUAUUUUAAAAACACACUCCCUAAUCUAAACACGUAAAAGUUCUUGAUGAGUGCCAUUCUGUGUUCUAAGUCACAAUCCUAUCUAGUACUUAGAAGCAUACUGAAAUUGCUGCUAACAUCUCAUGGAUAUUUUGAUUGCCCCAAGAGACUGGAGAAUUUCUGUCCGGAAUGCAAGCUUUGUGAAUCUAUUUAGAUAGACUGCAUAUCUGUUAAAUAUACAAGGCAUAUUAUAUUUUUUAUAAAUUAAAAAAAGAAAGAAGGCAUAAGCAUGCCAUGCUAGUGUCCAUAUUGUAUUUCCAGCAUAUACCAGUAGUUUAUUUUGCUUGAGGAAAGCAUAUUGUCUGGACCACGUGCAGAUUUAAGAAACAAAAAUAUAUGGGCAUUUUCUAUUUGGAAGGUGAGAUUUUGGUGCUUCACCUAUUUGUUUCUGGCCUUUCUAAAAUAGCAGGGCAACUCAGUAAGCAUCCAAAAGUUACUCUGCUAUUAGGCUGUUCAAGGAAAGAUUGAAAUUAAGACUUUUUGUGUCUCUUGGGGUUUCUUUUUAUCCGUUGUCUAGAAGCAUCUUGCUUCCUAACAAGAUGAUGUUCAUAUAUGAAAUAUUCAUAUUCUGUCAUAACUUGUGCAGCUCUAAAUAUCUGAAUUGGCUAGGGUGAAAUUUUAUUAGCAUUAUAUUUUCCUACUGACUACCCUUUGUCAAUGGUAGAAGCCUGCUAAAUACAUUGGCUUGAAAUUUCAAUAGCGUUUUCUGGGCUUCUGUUAUUAAAAAGUACUAUAUAAACAAGCUUUCACUGAUGGGUUUAGAGCCUAGAAAAAUUUAUUUCUGUUUGAAUUAUUUUGUUAUAACUUAAACUUUUAUAUGUAAAAAACCCCCCCUGUCUUAAAGUUCUGAGAAACCUAACAGCAACUUGAUUGGAAUGGGGCUUGCAGUGUGAUACUUUAGUGUUUGAGUUAUAUGCUUUCUUUGGAGCUUCUGCAGAUGUAAAUUGAGGUUUACUAUUUUGCAUGGUUGCAAACCAGAAUGUAAAAUUUCAAGGUAAACAAAUGCAGCCUUAUGAACAAAAACAAAAAAUAGUUAAACUUGCCUUACCUUCCUUUUGCUCUCUGCUGCUUGCAUUAGAAUCAUAGAGAUGGAAGGAGUGGAGUAUCGAUGGUUAUCAAGUCCAACCCUCUGCAAUGCAGGCUUCCUGCCCACAGCCAUCCUGGGUUGGGCUUAAACAAACAACUUUCUGGUUAACGUACAGACACACUAAUUCAUUGUUCCACAGCGCGGAGCAGCUUUCCCUAAUCUGGUGCCCUCCAGGGGUUUUGGACUUCUCCAAUAAACCCUUGCCAACAUGGCCAAUGGUAAGAGAUUAUGGAAGUUGUAGUCCUAAGUAUCUGGAGAGCACCAGGUUGGAGAAGGCUGGUAUAUAGCCAUUAUGUGAUGGAAAAGUGGAUACUAUGCACCCUCCUCUAGGUUUCUCUCUCCUCUUCCCAAGUACUUUGGGCCUGCCUCAUGUCCACAUGUUGAACAUGGCAAUAGAAAGUCCAUUUUGUUAGCUGUAAUUCUAUGAAAACUAUCUGUAACAAUUGGGGGUUGCAGAGUUUGCAGAUUGAGCUCUUUACAUAUUGCGGCGAACACAUGGGCCUAGAGGAUGUAAAUGUAGACUCUACAGGAGCAGGAGCAAGCAUGGUUGCUACCAGAUUAGGUAUGUAAGAAAUCAGCAAUUUCCAUUCAGACCUGUAUUCAUCAUAAUCAGCACUCUUUCUGUUCCCUUGCAGUUUGAUUUCUACCAAAUACUACCUUAUUCAUCUGAAUGACUGCUAUAGUAGCAUUCAUCAUAAUUUCUAUCUUAUUUCUGUUGUAGUUCUGUCAUAAUUAUUGUUGCUGUUGCAGCACAGCCCUGCAGAAAUCAGGAUUGAACUCCCUGCCGAUCACUUGAUGAGCGGAAGGUUAAAUCCUGUUUGGUUGGCUUCAUUACAGUGGUACCUCGGGUUACAUACGCUUCAGGUUACAGACGCUUCAGGUUACAGACUCCGCUAACCCAGAAGUAGUACCUUGGGUUAAGAACUUUGCUUCAGGAUGAGAACAGAAAUCGUGCUCCGGCGGCGUGGUGGCAGCGGGAGGCCCCAUUAGCUAAAGUGGUGCUUCAGGUUAAGAACAGUUUCAGGUUAAGAACGGACCUCCAGAACAAAUUAAGUACUUAACCCGAGGUACCACUGUAAUUGCAAUGUAAUGAAAUGUCAAAACAAUUUACCAGUGUCAUUAAUUACACAUAAUUUGUAUUUUUGCUGUGUGUUUUUUUAAAAAACAACAUUGUGAGCAAAUGCCAAUUCAUAUUCACUUGAUUGAGUUCCAUUCCUGACAAACAUGUGAACUGAAGCAGUUGCUGCCUGUGGAAAGAAGGGACCAGAAUUAACCACCUAAAGCCGCUGGCAAACAGGAUUUAUAGUAUUAUAGGACAAUGGGCAAUUGACAGGCACUACUCGAUCUCUUCAAGAAAACAAUUGUCUUCUGCAAUGUGAUACUAUGGAACAGGCACCCCCAACUUUCGGCCCUCCAGAUGUUUUGGACUACAAUUCCCAUCAUUCCUGACCACUGGUCCUGUUAGCUAGGGAUCAUGGGAGUUGUAGGCCAAAACAUCUGGAGGGCCGCAGGUUGGGGAUGCCUGCUCUAGAACCUUGCUAAGGAAUUAUUACUCACAUAACUUGCAGUUUAUAGAAUUCACUGUGACAAGUUGUCAGAGGUGGAUUUGGGGCAGCACAACCGGUUCUGCAGCAAUGGAUGCCAAGUCUAGAGGCUGCUGCAACGCAUCACAACUAUGACGUAGUGAAUUGAGCAGAAUGGAGAGCAAGAGGUGAGGGGGGCAUAAAAUUUUGGCCUCACACAUUGUGCCACUGAAAUUUGAAAUAGCAAAGUCCUCCCCUGGAGUUGUGGAAGUAGCCAUUUGUUUAAGAUUGAACAAUUCAUGGGAGCUAAGUCUGUUAACGGUUAAGUCACGAUAACCAGAACUAGUAUCCUGAAUAUCUGUUGUUCAGAAGAACAGUGUGAGAGGGGUAGUGCCUUCAUGCUCUGCUUAUGGACUUUCUAGCAAUAUCAGGCUGACCACCUGGCAGUGAUUCUGAACUAAGUGGACCUUCUGAGUUGAUCAACUUUGCUGCCCUUAAGAACAUGUAAGAAAUAAGCUGCUGUUUUUGCCACAACCAUCUGUAGACAUAUUUAUUUUGUUUAGAAGAAUUCUACCUGGCUUUUGCAGUGCUCUUGGUGCCUUACAAAACUGUCCCAUAAGAAGAUAAAAUAGCAUAAAAUGGAAACAAGCUCUGCAUGUUAAAAAUAUAUACGCCGUAUUUUUCGCUCCAUAAGAUGCACCUAUCCAUAAGACACACCUAGUUUUUAGAGGAGGAAAGGGGAAAGCCCCGUUUUUGGGGGGAUCAGCUCACAGUUGUGCAGCUUCUUUUGCAAAGGGGAAAAGCCCAGUUUUUUUGAGGAUCUGCUCAAAGUUGUGCAGCUUCUUUUGCAAAGGGGAAAAGCCCCGGUUUUUUUGAGGAUCAGCUCAAAGUUGUGCAGGUUCUUUUGCAAAGGGGCAAAGCCCCCUUUUUGAGGAUCAACUCAAAGUUGUUGAGCUUACUUUGCAAAGGGGAAAAAAUCCUGUUUUUAUGGGGUUCAACUCACAGUUCUGCAGCUUCUUUAGGAAAGGAAAGGGAGCCCUUUCUACAGUUUCCAGAUAGAUAAUCUAAUCAGCCAGUCAUAUGUCGCUGGGGAAACAAACAGCCUCUGUCUGCAGAACAUUCAACGAUGGAGGCCUGGGCAAGGGGGUGGGGCUGGAAAGGGAGCCAGCGAUCAACCACACAUUCGCUCCAUAAGACACACAGACAUUUUCCCUAACUUUUUAGGAGGAAAAAAGUGCAUCUUAUGGAGCGAAAAAUACGGUAUAUCUAAAAUAAAGGUCUGCCAUAUCAAUCAUCUUCAUCAACCUGGAAAUCCAUGCCAGAACCUUGCCUCCUCUCUCACCUGUCAUCUAGGGACAACCAUUCCAUCAGGCUGUCUCAACAGGACAGAGAGGUAGGAAAGCUCACCCCAUUGGCUUUGCUGGAGGCCCAGCUCCAUCAGCCCCCUCCUGCCUCCAACUGUGCAAGCUGGUCAAUUUAGAAGCAACUGUCUAGAAAUUGGUGCCUGAGUUUUGAUUUUAAUGUCCAUUUUCUCUCCUUACCUUUCCCUUGUUUGUUGUGGUUUUUCUUCUUUAUAUUGUAAGCCUGUAGGUAGGGGGUUUCUUGUUUCGAUUUUAUGUAAGCUGCUCCGGGAACCUUUUUGGCUGAAGAGCAGAGAACAGAUGAUAUAAAUAAAUAAGAAAUAAAAUAAAAAUCGUAAGAGAGGAGAACAAAUGGAUCUCACUGGAUUAAGGUAUUCCACUCGGGUGCAGCCAUGAGGAGGCCUUGUCUCACUUUUCCUCUCAGUUGUGCCUCAGCCAUAAUAAUAAUAAUAAUAAUAAUAAUAAUUUAUACCCCGCCCAUCUGGCUAAGUUUCCCCAGCCACUCUGGGCGGCUUCCAAUCAAGUGUUAAAAACAAUACAGCGUUACAUAUUAAAAACUUCCCUGAACAGGGCUGCUUGCAGACAAGACUCUCCCCAUAUAAGCUGUCCCAGACUCUGUGCUCAUCGUCUGAGAUCCUUCUUUGUGUGCCUCUUCCACAUGCAGUCUGGAGGGUCACAACACAAUAACGGGCCUUCUCUGUAGUGGAUUCCUGUUUGUGGAAUGCUCUCCCCGAGCCUUGUCUGGUGCCUUCAUAAAAUAUUUUUAGCUGCUAGGUGAAAACAUUCCUUUUCAACCAGGCCUUUGGCUGACUAAUACAGUGGUACCUCGGGUUAAGUACUUAAUUCGUUCCGGAGGUCCGUUCUUAACCUGAAACUGUUCUUAACCUGAAGCACCACUUUAGCUAAUGGGGCCUCCCGCUGCCACCGCGCCGCCAGAACACGAUUUCUGUUCUCAUCCUGAAGCAAAGUUCUCAACCCAAGGUACUAUUUCUGGGUUAGCGGAGUCUGUAACCUGAAGCGUAUGUAACUCAGGGUACCACUGUAUUCUACAGCCUUUUAAAUAUGUCUGUGGGAAGGGGGGUUAUUGUUUUGCUGUUUUGUUUUACUUAUUUGGCUGUUUUUAUCCUGUAUUUUAUUCUGUGAACCACCCUGAGAUCUUAUAAUGGAGGGCGGUAUAUAAAUCUAAUAAUACAAUACAAUACAAUAAUAAGGGCCUCCCUCACAGGUCUUAGGCAGGCUGGCAUAUGGCGUAUCUUAUUUUUCAAAGCUCUUUUACACCUGUGCAUUUUGUUCCAGCAUACCUUUUUUCUUUUCUGAUUCAGUCAAGGUUCCCUGCCUUGCUUGCUUUAGAGUAAGCCCCAUUGAAAUUUAGUGGGCAAAAUGUUGGGUUGCUGUUUUCCCUUUGUAUUCUAUACUCUGUCAAGAAAUCUCAGUAAGGGUUUCUGUUACAUAACUUCGUGGUGCAUUUGUAACUAUGCAAUUAUUAGUCUACAGCCAUUUCUUCUACAUAGUAAUUUUAUUGUAAGGGCAACGUGAUAGCAGAGGUAGACAUUCAAAAUCCUAAAGGAGUUCCAGCUUUUCAGUAAUACUCAUGUUGCUUAAAGGCAGCUGGCUUAUUUGAAGAGUAUGUCUGUGCCGAUAUCCUCUGUAAAGGAAGGUUCUCUCUGUUUUAAUGUGUAUGGGGUGAAGCCUUAGAGGCCUCCAUUCUCCUGAUUAUUAGCAUAAUAGGGAAAACAAACAGCGUAGAAUAAGACAAUUUUCUUACAUACAGCUGUGUCAUGUGGAUAAGGAUCUGACAAGGCUAUAACCCUUUCAUUUAAAGAAAUAGGCAAGGUUUGACCUUUCAAAUCAUAUUAAUUUCUUGUUUUAAAACUCAUCCUUUGUUUGACAAUCUUAAGUAAUGCUACACAUAAAUGAAAUGCUUCUGUUUGGCCUUUUCUGAAUUCUGAGGCUUGCCUUAGGCCAUGGCUCAAUAAAAUAGCCCAGUGAUUUGAAAACAAUGCAUAUUUAUUUUUGAUUGCUUCCUGCAAACAGCUAGGCCAAGAAAACUGAGGAGGGACCUUGUGGUAUGGUAAGCACAGAGUCUUCUACAACAACCUUAUCUCCCCAAAAUGACAAUAUCGGACCUAAAAAUAAAUCUAAAUCUUUAGAAAGCUAUCCUAUCUUGACAUACCAGUCAUUAGCAGGAGAGGGGAGGUUGGUGCCUUUGGGGAUUGGUAAGACAGAAGACAGGGAUUCCAACACUGGUGGGAGCCAAAGGAAAUGACUGGCAGAGUUAAGGCAAUGGAGCCAACUAAUUCUGGUUUUGACCCCAUCCUCUUUCCUGCUGACUUCAACAAAGGCAACACAGAGACUAAGGAGGAAGAGGCUGACAGCAGUACCAUCCCCUAUAUUGGUUUUAAGUUAGGAGGUAGGUAAAUAGAGGCUAGCUGAGGGCAGACUGAGCUUCAUGGGGCGGUGCUACUGUAAUGAUCUCAAGCAGGCAAGCAAGCACCGAUAAGAAUUAAUGAGUCUGGCAGUUUUAUGUAUGUUUAUUUACAAUUUACAUCCAGAGAGCAGCUCCGGUCCUGCCGCCCUUAGUUGGUCACUCUGAGACUCUGCCCUGUCACAGCACGAAGGGCACCAAAGUCCAGUCCUUUCUCUCUUACACUUCUGUUGCAUUGCAACCCUUUCAGCUGUUCCGGUUCGGGGAAAUGAAGAUAUUAAAUGAAGAUCCCUCUAAAUUCUGCCUCCCUCCUGGUUGCAUAGCAACUCCCUCAAUGUCAUCUAUCUCUUCCCCUCCUUCUGCCUUUGAGCUUUCCGAGUCUGGGAAGUCUUGGCAAAGGAGGGCCGAACUAGCCCAGCUCUGGCUGUGGCUGCAAUUCCUCAUCUCUAGAGUCAGACUCUGCCUCCCUAUGUAGAGGCAUUCCUUCAUCUCCAGAGUGACUACUCCCAGGCAUUUGAUUCAGCCACAUCCAUGACAGCUACUCAUCCUAAUGGAGCAGUCUCCACUGUUUCUCAGAUUUAUGGCCUGAAGGAACUCCCUACAUGUUCUCCUAAACUGAUGAAGAUACUGAUCAGCUUUCACAAACUUUCACAAAACUAAAUGGACUAGAUCUUGGUUUAUGCUUUUUCACAUGUGGUUUUUGGAUAAUAUGUAGUUUAGAGCUGAGGUAGCUAAAGUGGUUCCUUCCAGAUGGAAGUCCAGCAUCCCUUACCAUUGACCAUGCUGGCUGGAGCUGAUGGGAGUUGAAGUCAAAUAACACCUGGAGGGCAACACAUUGGUUACUCCUGGCUUACAGAGAAAGAACACAAUCAUUUAUCUCUUCAGGUGACAACUCAGAAGUCCGUAUUCUUUUCCAUGCCAGAGAUAAGCAUGAGCUGCAGUGGCUGCUAAAGUACUAUCAAGGACUCUUGUCUUAUGUCUCUGCCUUUUCCCUCCUUUCAUGAUACAGAGAGUUGAAGGGGACCUUUCUGACAUGUACUCAGUUUCUUUACAAGCACCUGCUUUUAAGAUAAAGAUCUGGUUUGUAAGGCUGUAACCUUUCAGUGAAGGAACAAAUUCUUUUAAAAGGAAAGUGAGCUUCUUUCUCUCUGUUAUUACUAUGGCAUUUUCAGAGAUUUUAAACAACGAUUUAACCACUGAUUGGAGAAAUCCAGAAUAGACUUUGUAACAGAAGCACUACUGAAGAUCUCUUGGGCAUCGAUAGCUAUUGCCAACUACUGUUGCCUGAGGUAUCUAUAAAAAUAUUAGAGGCAUUAAGAUACCUUGGCUAUCUGUUGUUGUUUUUUUGUAGUUGGUUCCUGGUUUCCACUUUUCCCGUUCAAUAUUAUUAUAGCGGGAAAACAGAAUAAAUUCCUAUGGUCCUGGCGCUAUUCUGCCAGAGGACAUGCUACUGUCAGGCUGACAGAGAUGUACACUGAAAUACAGCUUGUGUAACUUAGGAACAACACCUUCUGUGGUAUCAAGAGUGCCUGUGUAGUGCAACAAUAAGAACAGAACCUUUCAAGAAAGGAGCUUUUAUUGAGAGAACAAAAUGUAUGGGUUAACAAUUGAAGAAUAUUCCAGAAAUAGAAGAUGUAAAGGGGAAUGAGAUAGCAAUGAGUCAAAGGAGGCUGCUUGGUGAUGCAUAUGGAGAAGGGGCUGCAGUGGUGGAAGCCAGAAAGCUGGCAGCGGUAGAGAAACAGGGCAAAUUAAACCUUGCCCUACUUCUACUGUCUUCAAACACAUGGUGAACUGAAAAUCCUUAACAUCUGGUAAAUUGUUAUGAAGAGGUAGGAAGAGAAGAGUGCAGCUAUGCUUGACCAGACAAAGAUUGCUUGAGAAAGGGGACACAGAAAUGGCCACCUGAAGUCAGGAGUUUUAAGGGCUGGUACUGCAAUGUCUGCAAAUAGGAAGUAUUUCUUUAUUUCCAGGUGAACAAAAUACAGUUGUCUUUUCCUUUUUUACUCUAAGCAGGUGUGGUACACUGCUGCUUGAGAGUGUUUGUUUGUUUGUUUGUUUGUGUCCCGCCCUUUCCCCUGACAGGAGUCAAGGCAUCUUACAGAUACAAACAAUAACUACUAAAAACACAGAAAAAUCAAUCAUAAAAAUAUAAUUAAACAUUGAUGGAAUUAAAACUAUAUACAUAUGCAUAUAUAAAUUAUGUCUAAAAUAUACCCACAGUUGCAAUAAAAACAUCACAGCACCAGCAGUCGAUACUGAAAAGCCUGUUGCAACAAGAAAGUCUACACCUGCUGGCAGAAGGACAGCAAGGAGGGAGCCAGUGUAGCUUCUCUAGGGAGAGAGUUUCAGAGUCUGGGAGCAGCCACCAAGAAGGCCAUUAAGUGUGCCUGUGAGGGUGACAGGACCUAGAGAAUGGCCUCCCUUGAAGAUCUCAAAACCUGUGCAGGCUCGUUUGAGGGAAUAUGGUAUUUCAGAUAGCCAGUUGAUAGGUGAUGCAUUGUUGUCUGUGACUCUGGUUUCUCCACUUCUCCCACAGGAAAGCACCUUAGACUUUCUCAGAUAUUUUUUUUUAAUCUAAGAAGAAACGCUCAGAUCUGAUUCAAAGAAAUUUCUCCGUAGAGAACUUUCAGUGGCAACUCUACUCUGACUCUCGUUCUGUUUUGUUUAGGUUUAUAAUGGUGACUGUUGAUUCCCUUCUUCCAUAUCUGUUUUCAGCCAAGCAUAAUGGCAAAAUUCUACUCGACUAAUGUAUAUUCUGCUGCAUUUAUAUUUUAGCCUGCCAAUGGUAGAAUUACAGCUAAGGACCUUUCCCUUUUUAAAAUUGUGUGUUCAGUUUCAUUGUAGUAAAUGUAUUCCCACUUGUCUAAGAAUACUGCAGUACAGGAAAAAACAUCUUAUUCCCAUGCAUAGUUAGCAGGUGGAGAACAUGUCGUGUAUCUUAAUAAACUUGUUUCUACUGCGUGUUUCAUCAAAUUACUGAGUAGCUUUCUCAUGAUGUGUAGCAAGUAGCCUUUUGUCAACUUCUGUGAGCUGCUUUUGAGUGACGCUGGUGUUAAAUAUCCCUUUUAUCUGUUAAAAGCACAUUAGAAUUUAAAAACAAAUGUUGAAUGCUGUGGCUGUUAACAGAACUUUAUGUUUGUGGUUCAGUUUAUGUUCUAACCUGUCCAAAACAAACAUUUUUUUAUGAUAUGGAAACAUUAUUUGUCUGGAAAAUGAUUGCUGUAUUGUAGAACUGCUGUAAUAACACAAAAUGGUUAACUUCAAGGUGCUAAACUUUUAAUUGUUCGUUUGCUUCAGUUUUCAGGCCUUUCUGAAAAAUCAAAAUGUUUUUCCCUCUGAAGUUGAGAUAUUCAUUUUGCAGCCAUAGGAAUAUCAAUAGCUGUCUGCCCGUCUCUGUUGUCUGUUUUUUAUUUGUUGCCAUUUGUGUAUAUAUGUUCACAUCACCAAAUAAAAUUAUAUCCUUUGUUUAGUAUUGAUAAACAAGGAUAAUACAGUGGUACCUCGGGUUAAGUACUUAAUUUGUUCUGGAGGUCUGUUCUUAACCUGAAACAGUUCUUAACCUGAAGCACCACUUUAGCUAAUGGGGCCUCCUGCUGCUGCUGCUGCGCCGCCGGAGCACGAUUUCUGUUCUCAUCCUGAAGCAAAGUUCUUAACCCGAGGUACUUUUUGCUGGGUUAGCGGAGUCUGUAACCUGAAGUGUAUGUAACCUGAAGCGUAACCCUUUCAUUAAUAUUAUUAAUGAAAUUAUUUAUAUUAUUAUAAUAAUAAUAAUUAUAAUUAUAAUAUAAUAAUAAUAAUUAUAAUAAUAAAUAAUAAUUAUAUUAUUAUUUCAUUAAUAAAAAAAUGAAAUAGAUUGCGUUGUCAUAUAUACCACCCGUCCUAGAAGAGUUCAGUGUUAUAUUUGAAUUCUAUGUAGGUGAUAUGGGAGUCUUGAUUUUUGUCCUGCUGAGGUUGAAAGUCCAGAAGAGGGACAUAAUUCAUUCCCUUGAAUUUUUAUUUUAUUUUAUUAUUUCCCACCAUUUCCUCCUGCUGGAAGCCGGUGAUUAAUGUUAACUAUAAUCAAGGCUGUUCUUACAAAAGGAUUUGGAGGAAAGACUAUAGUUAAAUAUAGCUAUUUUCACGCUUCGUUCCACAUAUUUAUUCAAUGCACAGAGCGGAGCAGAAAAACACCAGCUGGUUCUGCCCUCUCUUCCACACUUUAGGUGGAACAACAGGCUUUACACAUCCACAGCUGUAUAUGUAGGUCCUGCACACUUGCAAAAGUCUAGGAUGACACAUACAGUUGUACACGUGUAGCGCCAGCACAUGGAGUCAGGGGCAGUCACCAUAAUUUCACAUUUCCUUUCUCUGCAUCCACAUUUUGUUUUUUCUUGAGGCACAGGUAUGAUACGUUACGAAAAUAUCUUGUCUAAAUCUUAUAUAUUCUCCCUGAAGCAUCUACUUUUUUUAGAACAGAGAAUUAUUAUUAUUUGAAAAAGAAAACAAAUAAUCUAGGUUUCCUAAGUAUGAGAAAACUGACUCGGGGUAAAACAGUUGUUUUCAGAAGUCUCUACCAGACUAGAGGAAGAUCUAAGGAUAAAAACCACGGAGGACUCUCUUUUUGUCUUUGUAUGGCUGUGUUUCAGCAGAAAAGACGCAUCAUUUAAACCAAACAUUCACUAGUCAGAAAAAAAUAAUGUUACAAAAAUAUACCAGUGUCAAGCAGUAAAUUUUCUAGCCGCUUUCCCUUCAACUUUACUGCACUUCCCGAUUGUACAGCAUUGAUUUUCAUUAGCAUUUUCCUGCAUUUGCUGACUUUGUACUCUCCUUCUAGAAUAGAUCUAUGUAGACCCACUUGUUGGGUAAGUUCUCCUUGUAUGUCUCAAAAUAUUUUCAUGGCUUGAAUCAGGAUUUCCAAGCAAUGUAGUAUACAGCAAGCACAUCUUACGUGGGUGUUACAAUCUGACGUUGUUGCGUAGAACCAAAAUAGUGUAUAGACAAAACACAUUGGGUGCAUUGAUGGGUGGGAUUGCUAAAGUCUUUGCCCCCAGAUGCUCGUUUCCUUUCCUCCACCCUUUUAUUUAUUUUUUUAAUUGCCAAGCAUGUAAAGCUGAAUGCAUAGAAGUUAAAUGUGUGUGAGUGUACUGUAGUUGCAAAAAUCAGCUAGGCAUUGAGGAAAACGGAGGCACAAAUAUGUCUUCAGUCUUUGUCCUUUGAUGUCUCACCUAUUAAGUUCUUUGUGGACAAUAUUUCUAAAUUGUACUUCAUGUGUAGCGCUCCCCUGAGUAGAGCAGCCAUUGAUGAAUCAGGGGUAAUUUGGAGAUCCCUCUUGGGUGAAAUUGGCAUUUUUGUGGGAAACAAAACUAUUAUCACAUAUAUAUCAUCUCGUAUUUCUUACUGAGGUUCAAGUUCAAGGCCCUAUAAAAAACUUUUAGUUGAUGUACCUUGUUGCUAUCUGCUUCUCAUUAGCAUUUGGAUGGCCUGUUAAGAGUUUGACUGAAACGUUCAGUGGGCCAGGUUGAUAAUAAAUUGGACUUGAGUUUUGCUUAAGAUAAAAUUUCAAAGCAAAAAAGCAUUAGAGGUUCCUCUUUGGGCAAAGUAUCCAUGGAACUGUGGAUGAAGUGUAAAAAACAACAACAACCAUAAUAAAGUUUUGCUAAGACUGGAACAUUUCUUAGGGUGGUAUCGCUAUUCAUGGGUUGUGUUCAUUUGCAUUGUAGCAUCUGACAUUUAAAGUGCAGAAAGUUUAGUUAAGGAGAAGUAUCUAGAGUUUUAUUACAUGCAGUUUCAAGGUUUUUUUCUGCUAUCAAGAUGCCUGUUGUUUAUUAAACAUUGGAAUAUUGGCUUUUAAAUAAAUGAAAUGUUGUCCUCUUUUAUAAUUAAAUCUGUCAGGAUGCCAGUUUGAGGAUAAAAUAAGAGCCUUGGAUGUAGUUCCUACAAACUAAUUUUAAUGGAUGUAUUGAAAUUAAUAGCCCAAAGUUAGUCACGUCCAUUAAUUUCAGUGGAUUGUUGGACACAGCCCAAUGUGGCUUGUGAGAGCAUAUGAGAGAUUUUGAAAAACCUGUGUCUGGGGUUUGGGGGCCAUGCUGUAGGCCAUACCAGCUGGGGCUGUUAGGAUUUGCAUUUCCAACAAUGACUGAAAGGGAAAAGUUCCCUUCUCUUGUCUUAUAGGGUACUCCUUCCACUCAUGUCACAGAUGGGAACUGAGCCAAAUAUACAUUGAGUGAGAUUAGCUAUUGUGGCAUGGUUUGAACCUUCCUUUCCUCUCCUGAAAUGGUUGAUGACAACAAUAGGAUUCAAUUCUAUUGAUAUUUCGUCCAAUAUAUGAGGCAUCUAAACUUGACUUUUGCAGAGAUUGCCUAAAUAUUUACAUAUGGUUUGGAAUUUGUUUUAAUUUUGCCUGCUUUUAACGAGGUAGCCUUUAUCUCCAAAUUCUGUCUCUGGUCUAAUGUAAAGCCUAUACUGGUCCCUCCUUAUUAUUGGGGGGGGACGGGACCCCUGCAGGAUUAAAAAAUGAGGAAGUGUAGAAGUCUGUUAGGUGAUAUAAGCCUUUGGUUUGCCAGGUUUUUAUCUGGGGGUUUUGUGCUGUGUGAUGUGGUGAUGUGCCAGGGGAAUUAGUGGGGAUGGGGUUGGGGACAGUUUACCUAUUUCUGCUUUCCAUGCUUUAAGCAUAGUCUGUGUGUACCUGUUUAGUGUUGUGGGAAUUUUCCUUAGUUAGUUUGGGAGGAACAAAUGAAACUGAUCUGUAGAAAAUGUAACUUGGAAGAAAAAAAGACAUUGCACAUACUUUUGUAAACCAAGAAAUCUUUAAUAAAAAUAUGUUAAAAAUGGGGGGAAAAUGAGUAAGUGUGGGCUAUGCACAGAAGCCAUUUCAUGUAAUCUAAAAGGCUGAGGGGAAAAGACAUGGAUAGAGUAAUAAAAAGGUAUGCUCAACAUGGGCACUAAUAAAAGAAGAACUAAGCAUCAUUACAAGGUCAAUGUAACUAAAUUGGUAUCUUCACUGUAUUAUAAGAAAGUAAUGAGAAACACCUUCAGUCUCAAACAGAAGUCAAUAGAAAAUCAACAAACAGCUACUGCAGACAUCCUUUAUCUAGCAAGAAUCAGAGUCAACAUGCUAGCAUUCUGGAAUAGCACACAAAAAGUCUUUUAAAAGAGGACAAACAACUUCCAGCAAACAGCAAAAGCUGCCAUCCCCAUUAUUUUAUCUCUCCGCAGCAUGUUGGUGAAAUAAUGAAAGAAAUACAGGUCAAACCAGCAUUUUUUCAGGCAUAAAAUUGCACACAAUUUAGGUUUAUAGCACCAGAUGGCCACAGAAGUGAAGCUAAAUUGAGUGCUGCGUGAGGCAGGGAGAGAACAGGGAAUCUGAAAUGCAAGUUAAAGAUAAGGUGGCAGACAUUUCUCUCCCCAGACGUAAUCACAGCAAAGCACCCUAUUAUCAACAGCAUUAGAAACAUUUUGAGAUAACGGAUAAUGAUUGAAAUUAUGCUAGAGAUAAUUGUUUUAGAAAUGAAGAUCUAAACGUGUGAUCAACCUACUUCAGAAAGGUGAGUUCCAGACACUGAUAUAAGACCUAAACUGCUAUUUCAACACAUCAUACAACAAUAUAGUGAAAUAAUAGAUAAGUGAUUAACUAUGCAUUGCACUUAACAUCUAACAUAGCACUCAGAGUGUAAUCGCCCUAAUUUGCAAUUGUAAAUCUCUUGUUAUCAAUUAAUUUACACUGCACAAGUAACCAUCUGAUUAUCUUCUUACAUACCAGUAUUUACACAGUAAUUAAAUUGUAACUAAUUAGCAUGUAAUUGCACAUACUUAUUUGUACCUUGUAAAGUGAAUGAUGUAUUUAAACAUAGUUGAAAUACUUGCAAUUAAGAAAACAUGAAUACUUUUUAUGUCACAUAAUUAUGCAUAUGACUGAACAGUCUCCCAAGUAAUUUGUCUGGGAGUGGGGUGCAUUGAUUGUCUCAGUUGGCCUUAUGAAUGUAAUUUUGAAGGAGUGUGCCCUUUCUUUACUUUUGUAGCUUAAUACUUUUUAAACUACCUGGAGUUAGGAGUACCAAUAAGUAAUCAAAAUAUGCCUACAGUGGUGCCCCGCAAGACGAAUGCCUCGCAAGACGGAAAAACCGCUAGACGAAAGGGUUUUCCGUUUUAAGUUGCCAUGCAGGACAAUUCCCCUAUGGGCUUGCUUCGCAAGACGAAAAUACCUUGCGAGUCUAGAGAUUUUUUUCGCUUUCCCCUUUAUCUAAUCUGCUAAGCCUUUAAUAGCCUUUUAGCAGCUAAUCCCUAAGCCUUUAAGCCUUUAGUAGCAUUAAACAGCUGAUAGCGCUAAUAGCGCUAAUCCGUCAAUGGGCUUGCUUCGCAAGACGAAAAAACCGCUAGACGAAGACUCUUGCGGAACGGAUUAAUUUCGUCUUGCGAGGCACCACUGUAUUUCCAAGUUAUACCUUCAUGCCACUUUAAAACAUUCCUCCAAAUUUUCCUCAGAAUUAUAACUUACAGAUGAGAGUCCUAUUGGAGUCAUCUGAAGCCAUCUGAAGCGGUAAGAUAAUAACCUUAACACCUGGCGUGGACAGAUGCACACUGCAAAGUAACCAUAACCAAAAGACUACCCUAUUAAGAUGCUUUUGGAGGAUAUGCUGUAUGAAUGUCAUCAAGGGCAAUGGCAGUUGUGUGAUUUGUCCAGUCAUUUAUAACUCAAGUUUUAUUUUUAUGCUUCUUACCUUUCCAACAGUGUGAAUUGCUCUGUAGAAAGGUUUUGACUUAAGAACAAAACUCUUAUUCUCCUACAUGUGAGCAAUAAUGGCACACUUGAAUCGUAUUGGUUCAGGUCCUACCCUCCGAAGCAGAAGAAAAUAAGUUUGCUCCACCUUCCAUGUAUGACAACCCUUUAUAUACUUGAAGAUGGCUAUCAUAUCUCCUCUCAGUCUUCCAUUUUCCAGGCUAAACAUACCCAACUCCAUCAACUGUUCCUCAUAAGACUUGGUUUCCAACAACAGGUUGAUUCAAACAACGGGCCCAGAAAAGAACCCUGCAGUACCCCACUUGUCACUUUCCCCCAGGAUGAUAAGAAACUAUUUGUGAGCACUCUUUGAUUCUCCAGAGGUUUUGUUUUAUUGAGGACAACAUUUGUCGACCACCAGUCCGCAUGGACAUGUUUCUGUGUGUUGUGUUACUCCAGAGGUUUGACUUCUGCAAUGGCCGAUUUUCCUCCUCCCUAGGGGCACCCCACCUGCAUUGCUGUUUCAGGACAGUCCACUCUGCUCUGUCAAUAAAUUCUUCAUCUUGCCCAAUAGCUCGAAGAGUGAAUAGGUGGGCCUCGUGUUGCUGUAUAUUCUCUUCCAGGAAGGCAAACAGCUUGCACUUGCUAAAGGUGUAGUUUUGUGCAUUCUCAGACAGGAAGGCAAACAUGGCACAGCAGUUCCUUCACCGUCCUUGUCUCUUGGUCCUAUGUCCACUCCUGACCUCUCUCUCAAACUGCCUCAGUAAAACGCUGUUUACAAGUCCUAGUCACAAGCUUCCAGAGCCUGCAAACAGCUAAACAGAACUGCUACUGGCUGCUAACUUGAUGAUGGUGGCCGGGAAGAUUGGGCUCCAAAGCCCAGAAGCCCAAGGUUGUAACCUGUUCUGGAAACCGUAUGGUAAAGGGCCAGUAAAAGUCAAACAAACAAAGCAGACACAUAAAUAAGUAAAACAAGCAGGACAUGAGUGCAACAGCACUCUUUCCCUUGCUGGAAAAGAUUUAGAGGUGUAACAUAAAUGUACUUGACACCAAGAAAGCAAACUUGCAUUGCCUCCUCACUUAAAAAAGCAAAACAAAAACUACCUAAGAUUGGCAUACCAUGUUAAUUAUACAUUGUUAUAAGUGGUGUAGUUGAUUUAUUCUAUGCAAAUAAGGAAAGAAUCACUUAAUCAGCAGUUCAAACACAGUAUGUGUAUCAACUGAAAGCAAAGCAAAUUGCAAUGUGUUUUAUUUCAAGCUGAAAGGUAAUGAAUAUGCCGGAGUGUCAUAGUAUGAACUAUAUUUUUAAGUAAUCAUUUAUUUUCACUGACAGGUGCACUCCUCUUGCGUUUACCUAAGAAAGCUGCUUCCCAGCAUAUUUUUUCAUAUAUAUCCUGUAUCUUUAUUUUUAAUACAUCGGAGUGCACAGAUGAUUCUCUCUAGAGCAUAUGAAAAGCAUACAUUAAAUAGGAAGGAAAAGAUAAGGUCGAACAACUAAUAUCCUUGGCUUUUAAAUAAGCCUGUAAAUCAUGCUUUUUUCUUUACUUCUGACAAUUGUUGCAAAUAGGUCGGAUAUCUAAGGAUGAUAUUGUCAAUACAAAGCCAGGAAGGUCAGUGUUCAUUUCAUUUGUGAAACUAAUUACAUCAAACAAAUUUCAUUUUCAAACCCCAAAAUCAAUUGAUGUGUAUAAAUCUGUUCCCUAAUGAUGGAUACAUACAGUUUGUUAUCAUCUUGUAACGUUUUGAGAUUCAAUUUUCACUUUUAUGGAAGUGGUGAGCAAAUUGCUUUUGCUUGUUUUACUAUACAGUAUUUAACUAAUCCCAGCACUAGGUAUUUCCCCAACAGAAAAAAAAUGAUACUUUCAAACUGUUUAUUCCAGAAUUAGAAGCACUCAUAUAAACUCUCAUUCAGUUACAUAGAAUUGUGUACUAACUACAACAGAGUAUCGGCUUUAAGGUACAGUAGGCUCACAAUGUGUGGGGGCUACCUUCCGGGAGGGGGUGUGUGGGUAAAGGUGAAAUUGUCUAUACAGGAGUCAGAACCAGCCUGGAACUCCCCCACCCAACCCCCUCCCAUGCAGCCAUCCUGACCUUUCUGAAGCUGGUUUCCUGAGCAGGUCUCACUCCCACUUCUGCAAGAUGGAGAGCUUUUAAGCUUUGCACCUUGCUUAUUAGGCUCUACAAGACUUUCAAGAAUCUGGGCUGUCCAAAAUCUUGUGAAAGCCCCUCAGAGCCUAUGUGAUACCAUCCCACAGCCUGGUAAGCAUGUGUGUUUAACUUAUGUGAUUGCACCUGGCUGGCCACCAAGCACUUAGAGCUGCAGUAGCGAACACUGAAUGCACAAGUUGCAAGUUGACUGUGCCCUGAUCAGAUAUCUUACUUUUUUUUCUUGGUGGGUAGUGAAUUGCUAUAACUCUGUGAAUUGACUUCAUUUUACCAGCACAAAAAGUAACUUACAGCACCACAGGUAGUAAGUACAUAGUGCUUGCAAUUUCCCCAUCCUCAGACCUUGCUAAUUUGUACACAUGUGCCACUCUGUAGCUUUGAUUAUACCAUCAUAUUCUACACCCAAAGUAUUGGAAGAGGCCCUGCCUCGUAUGCCCUGGAUUUCAUCCCAUACUAGUCCUACUUAGGGCAGAACCAUUGAAGUUAAUUGAGAUGACUAAUUUAAAUCCACUAGUUUCAAUGGGUGUACUCUUGAGUAGGACUUAGUUGGAUACAACCCACUUUGUUGUAUGAGUGCACGAUAGCGGCUGUUCAUAUUGUUAGUUAAGGUACUAAAAUCAACAGUCUUGCUUCCAAUUAAUUUAUUUAGGAAAAGCACCUGGAACUGCAAGUUCAUACUGAUUUGUAUUACAGAACAAAUCACCCCAACUAUUCCUCUUUAAGCCUUGAAAGUUGGCUUGUGGAACACCUUCCUUCAUCAGAGAGAUUACACUUACCAGACAUGUUUCGACUGAUGUCAAACAUUGUUUGUAUGGAAAGGAAGUGAAUAUGCCUAAAAUGUGUAUAGAAUAGAUUUUAAGUUUCAGGUUUUCAAAAGUGUCUCACUCUCCAGUUUAGCUGUCAUCACCAAUCUAUUGUGUUAAUGACAAUGAAUGAAUUCAUGAAUAGGAGUGGAGCCUGUGAUCCAAAUAUUGUAUGACAAAAAGCUGUGAUGUACUUUAUAAUUUAUCAAGUACAGCUGGAAGAUGAGUUAAACAUGGCAUUCCUUUUGGGCAAAAUCACUGUUUCCCUGCACAAGAGAGUCAGCUUUCCUCUUACUGGCCCAUGUAGACUUAGGAUGGGAGGGAACGGGCCUGUCAAGAUUACAGUUUCAUCUUCUGGUAGUGGAAAGGGGUGGAAUGGAAUGAAACUAUAGAACCACACACUUUUUAAAUAGUUCACUUUAGUAGGAUUCACCAUUAGUAGCCCUGAAAUUGUAACAUCACUAACAUAAUCAUAUUAUUAAACAUACUUUAUAUUAAAUAUUACCACUUGAUGCUUAUUUUCCAGUAUGCCCAGUUAGUUCACUGGAUUCAAAUACAUCCUAAGUUUUCUAUAUCAGGGGUUCCCAAACUGUGGUCUUUACAUUGGUAAUCUUCACAUUCUAGUUCUUGUAUAAAGAAAUCUACAUCCUCCACUUUCAAGCAAACCAUGGUUUCUGAUAGAGACUCCAGCCCAGGCUCACUAUCAUAAUGUGGGUUUUCUUAAUCAUCAUCCAUUUGUUCCCUUCAUAGAAUUUCAUAUCAGAAACUCUGAUUUUGAAUGGAUUGUCAGUACAUACAAUUACCUUGAAGUAUUGCUCAGGACCGCCUCUCUCCACAUGAACCUACCUCGACCCUGAGAACAUCUUCUGAGGCCCUUCUUUAUGUUCCUCCUACAUAACAGGUCUGGAGAGUGGCAACAUGAGAACGGACCUUCUCUGUAGUGGCUCUCUAUUUGUGGAAUGCUCUCCCCAGAGAGGUUCUGCUGGCACCUUCAUUAUGCACCUUUAGGUACCAGGAGAAAAUGUUCCUCUUUAACUACGCCUUUGGCUGAUUGACAUCCGAUACCCUUUUGAAAUGUGUUGUAGAAGGGGGAAUUGUUGGGUUGUUUUUGUUUUUAUAAUGUAUAUUAUGUUUUUUAUACCUGUUAUUUUAUGUUGUGAACUGCGCUGAGAUCUAUGGUUAUAGGGUAGUAUACAAAUUUAAUAAAUAUUAAUAAUAGAAAUAAUAAUUAAGGAUAAACUGGUGACUCUUCAUGUUUGAGCCUUUUAUGGUGCUAGAGUUCUCAUCCUGUUCAACUGGAUGCCUGUCAGAAGCUCACAAGCAGGAUCUGAGUGCACUUACUGGUAUAGGACGGGUUUUUCUUUGUAGACAGGAUUCUUGAAAACCUCCUACACAUUUUAUUAUGCCUUUAGCGAAAAUUGCUUUAUGCAAAAACAUUUUCUGUUUGAUAGACAGUUCUAGUACCAAGUCAAAAUGGAUAGCGAUGGAAUCCCCCAUGGCUUUUGAGAUUGCUAACAUAUACACAGAACAAUUGGAAGAUACAUUUAUGGAGUGGAGUCUACAUUUUCCCCCUCCCUCCAUGAAGUGCUUCCUAAUUGAUGUUCACGCUAUUUCAUAUGAAAUGGGGACCUUUCUUUGGGUACAGCUGAGAGAACAAACCUUAGUUCUGAUGGGCAGAGUCAUAUUAAAAGAAUGUCACUCGUCGUAUCUUUGAAUCCAAUGUCAUACUACUGAUCUUGACAUUUACAGAAGGAUGGCUACGGAAAUUUCUGAGAAGCUUAUAGCUUCACACAGUCUUACUGUAAUGCAUUAUAUACUGUUGUAUAGGAGAGCAUUAUGUUUGUUUCACGGUAAUUUCAUAGUUAUGACUCCCAGCGUGAUCUCUGUUUGUGAAAGAUGAAAGCACUUGAGUUGACGGAAGCUGACAUACACUUGUUUUAAAGGAAAAUUGCUUUGGACUUGCUGAGUACUGGGUGUUAACAUAGUUUAAAUGCAUUAGAUUUUAAGUGUAGAAAUAUGGUUUCUGUGUGGCCUGUAAGGAUAUAAGAACAACAAACACCUCAAAUGUGUAUCUACAACAGUGGCACAGACUGUACUUCAAAGAAAGAUGGGUGAAUUAAUUUUUCAGUGCAGUGGAAUUAAAAAACCCUCAUCUUUCCUUAUAGCUGAUCCUUCUAAAGAGAGAAAAAAGCCUAUAAGCUUCAAUUCAGACUUUUUUUUCGGUUUUGAAAAGUCUCAUGGUUUGUAUAUUUAUUCUUGUUCAAACACACAUCUGCAGGCACAGACAAAUAUUACUAAAGUAACAAAAUCAAAGCGGACAAAAUUCACUAAUAAAAUCACAACACACAUUUUUAUUAGUGCUAUUAGCAAUGAACACCAUAUGUCAUGGAACUUCUCAAAUUAAUGUGAUGAAAGGGUAAAAAACUAGAAAUAGUGAAUAAGUGAGCAAUGGGAAUAGAGUUUUCAAAGCUAUGAAUGCUUGAAAACCUAGUUUUUGUGAUUUUAGCUUUAUUUUGUACACAUAGCAUCUUUUAGUGAUUCCCACACAGAUCUGGGAUCAUGGAAGGGCCUAAUAGGUCUUGGAAACUAUGGAUAUUCAGUGAACUGCACAACUGUAUUAUGUGCCCAAUAAUGUUUUCAGGUUUUGGUGUUAGAAUAGCAGUGGCCCUUCUUCCUGGAUGCCUGCUUUGCAAAAUACUUUUGAACCUGCAGGCUUGUUCAAAAAUAGUUUGUAGCAUGACUGGAGGUUCCAGUAUUUGGAUUCUUGAGCAGAAGGUCUGUUGCUGGAGGUCCUCCCUGAAUUUGACAUGGUGCCUUCCAGUAGUGCUCCACCAGUAAUGGGGCCAAAACUGGAGCAUUCCAGGGAGAUGUCUGGGUGGCCAGGGACCCAUGGAAUCCUCAGCUCUCUUGUGGGAAACUACUGCAGCUUGAGAGCUGGCACAAUUAAUUCCUUCCCAUUGGAUGCAAUGGGAAGGGGGAAGGGGGGGGAAAUGGUUGUCUCCACCUUCUGCCUUAGCCAGUGCUGGCAGGGCUUAGGAAACAAAGGUUGCUGUUCUGCAGAUUACCCUCCACCGCUAAGAUUUCUCUGUGGUUGUCUGUGCAAAGGGGGAAAGGGAGAAAUCCCACUGGGCAUUCGCAAUGCCUUGGACCCCAGUUCCAGAUUGCAGCCUGCAUGUGAUACUUUGGGUAGAUCCUUUCGUUGAUCAUCAAGACAGCAUUGUCUUGGGCUGCCAUAUGUCCGGAUUUCAAAGGUGGACUUGAUGUCUGGGGGGAUUUCCAAAAGGUGUCUCUUUGUCCUGGAUCUUAGGCAAGUCAAUUGAAAAAUCGACAACUUUGAAAGCUCAAAGCUCACCAACUUUCAGGUUUUCCUUAAAAAUCCUCAACAAUUUUGGUGGUGUCUUGGUUUUUACUUUUUGAAAUAUGGCAACCCUAGCUUUGUCUUUAGCUUGCCUUAUAAACUGCUUGACAACAAUCAGUCCUCAUCACAUUGGUUCAUAUGAACAUAUGUGUUCAAAUGAAUUGCCUCCAGUAGUAUGAACCUUUAGAGUUUAUAUCAAAGUCUACAUAGCUAUUACACAAAAUCUCAAAUAUUUGCCUUCUUGAGCCCUCGUUAUGUACAGAUUUGGGUAGAGCUCAGUCUCUGUCUCUCGAAGCCUCAGUGUUAUUCCCAUUCUGAGAGGCCUCAAUUCCACACACUUCAGAUCAAGCCAUAAUGCUUGAGCUGGAAGAAAACUCUUCCCUCCAGCUAAUCUGAAUGAAAGCUACAACAGCGCAGAGAAUAAAAGAUGUGGCACUAAUACUGCAGAAACAGGGCUGCUGCUCUCUCUUGGAGUUUAUGAACAUGACUCACAAGUGCUGGCUAAGAUAUGUCAAAAUUGGUCUCCAGGUUAGUCUAAUUAUAUGUGCGUAGUACAUACUUGUUAUGAUGGAGCUGUAACCCUUCCAUUCUGAAACAGUAACACAUAAUUCUACCUCCAAAAUUAUAGCUAGCAAAAUUGUUAAAUAAGCUAGGAAGUAAGUGAGUAGACUAAUGAAUCCAGUAGGAGCUUUACUUCAAGGUUCAAUUAAAGGCAAGGAAUAGGAUAUUCUUUUCUUUCUAUUUUUUGCAGGGGAAGAGAAUAGCUUCCAAACAUACUUUGGUAGUUCUAUAUAGCUACUUAUUUUUUGCUAUGCACGUUGGGUUGCAUUCUCAUGGCAGUUGAUUCAUUUCCUCAAUGUUUCUCUGUUAAUUUCCUUCUUAUAUUUGAGCUUUCACACGAGCUAAAUGCACUUCCAGAGAUAAAACAAAAUAUAGUUCAUGCCAUUUGUUCCCAGAAAAAAAAUAAUCUGCUUGUAAAUAACAUGUUCCUUUGCUACUACAUCUUUACUUGCUCCACAUCACAUAUUGCAUUAGCUAUGGGGUAGGUGUGUCAGCUGGGCCAAAUGUCGUGCACAGGUGAUGUGCUGUCAGGCUGCCAGAAAAGCCCUUCUGCCUGUUGUCCCAUGCUGUAAGCAGAAACAGACACACUGCUUCUCAGUAAUUAACUUUAUUGCUCAGUAGCGAAGGAGUCAGCACAUGACGCAUCCAUCAGAUAAGCAAGUCAGUUGCAGAAGCUAAAGUCCCUCUUCAUCCCUUAUUUAUACCUCCCUCCUUGCAUUUUUUUUUUUUGCUCUGACUCGGCUUUUAUUAAUUGUUCUAGCCUUUUCUCAACCCUUCGUUCCUGCGCUGAGAGUGAGGGAGGGGAAGGAACCAAAUCAGGACUGUAUUGUAGAGCAGGAUGGCUGAAGGAGAGGCAGUAGGCAGACGCAAGUCCCACACUGACAUUUCAGGCAGUGCGAAACCUGCAGGCACCUAAGCCACCAUGUCACUCCUCAAAAGUUCUGUGAAACCAUUUUUUAUUUAAAAAACUCAUUUUGUCACACACACCCCUCAGUGAUGACACCCUGCUUUUACAAAUGGAAACCUACUUUAAGAAAUGGAAAGGGCCCACCUCCCUUUUAAGUAGACAGUAUGUAACUAGAGAACAUGUUUUCCUUCAUACGAAGAAAUAAUCCAGUCUUGUUUUUUCGCAACUCCUGCCUAGCAGCUCUUCAUAAAAAUAUUGUCCCUGCUCCACCAACCAACCAACCAGCCAACCACAACCACAUUACCCUUUGCUUUUAGGCAAGCUCUCUCCUCUGUAUCCACUCAUACCUAGACUGUGAAGAGCUGUAUUUAGGUGGGAAAGCAUCUGUUUUGCAUGAUGAAGUUUCUAGGUUCAAACCCUGGCAUCUCCAAAUGGGGCUGAGAGUGGCCCCUGCCUGAAAUCAUGGAAAUCAUGGAAAAGCCACUGUCAGUCAUUGUAGACAGUACCAAGUCAGACGGUCCAAUGCUAUGACUUAGUAUAAGCUAGCAUUCUGUGUUCCUGUGUGUUCAUUCUGGUACACCCAACAAUCCAUUCUCAAUAUCUAGGAAGAAAGCACAGUGAACACAAUGAUUUCCUCUGCCAGAGUACAAUCCGGGUUUUGUCAUACCUUCUUCUUGGCAACAUCUGCAUUCUUCACAAAACAGCAGCCCAGUGGAGCACUUGGUAUAAAACCUAUAUUUAUAUCUUUUAUCUUAAGCAGGGGAUUGGGGAAAGAGGCCAGUGAUCUCUAGACAGUGCUUUAUUUCCGACAGAAUGCCAUCACUCCCCACUCCACAAUUGGCAGCCAUUGUGUGCCGUGACACUUUUAUCUAGAUGUAAGUACUGACACCUCGUUUCUUACCAAAAAAGCACUGGAUCAAGCUAAUUGUUCACCUGCAGGUGCUGGUGCAAGUCCAUGGAAAUGUGGGGCGAGGGAUGAAAAAGAACUCUAGAAAAUGAGAGGCAAAUGCAAAGGAGCAGAACAGUAUAUGCAUUCAAGUGGGAAGUGAAGGAGUUUGAAAAUGGUGUUGCAGUUUCCUGCUCUGUAUGGUUUAGGUGUUCUUCUCUUCGCAUAUGGAGAGAGGCAGAUUGACUGUUCUCUGUGGCUUUGUCUUGGGAUGUUAGAGAAUUCCUCCAGAAACAGGGGUGGAAAUUGCUAAUAUUUGCUUAAGUCCAGAGAAGUAAUCAAUCCAGUGAAUGUGAUUGUUGUUUUCAUUCCACAAAUGGUACUUAAUUGAUUAAUUCCCGCCUCCAUUGUCAUUAUGUUUCCCUUGCAUUAAAAUAAAUGGAGUUGAAUAACAUAAUUAAUUAUAUAAAAACACUUAAGAAAUAGGUUAGCUUGAGAAAUAGUGACUGGCUGACAUGACUGACAUGAGAUGCGAACCUUGGUGUCAUCAGUCCUAGUCUCACUAACCACUAUACUCUACUGGUUUUCCAGUGAUUUAAUUGCACAGAAAUGGUUAACUAGAAGUGUUUGUGAAUAUAAAAAAAUCUCCUUUUUGGAAUUUUAGAUUUUGUCUCCAGAUUUUAUGACCUUGUGUGAUGAUGUGCAUGUCCCCACCCCCCAUAGUUCCCUCAAGCUAUUUGUUCUACUCCUGGAUCCACUACUGUAACUUCAUAAUAUUAGGAAAUGGACAAAAAGGAUCACAAUACAUUUAUUGAAAUGGAAUAAUACAAUGUAGGAACACUUCAUGGUACAGUCUUUCUGUUUCAUGCAGCUACAUGAUCUGUCAAGAGAGUCAUUCUAAAUCUUCUUUCUGGCCACUUGAUGGAGGCAACAGCUUAAAUACUUUUAUCUGUUUUUUAAGUUGAUGCUCGAGGUAGUUGAUUAGAUGCUGAUUUGUACUGUAGUUUUGUGAGUUGUGUUUGUAGUCUCCACAUUGUGUGUCUGAUGAACUUUAUGUAUUAUAAACAUACAGCGAAAACCAUUUGCUGGAAUAACAAUUACAACCCAUCAUUGCUGCUAAACACUGAACUAGGAUCUAUUCGGCUGUAUCCUAGAAUGAGAAGUUUAGUAGAAUGCAAAUAUUCUUAAGUGCUUCAUAUUUUAACAUUUACCGAGGUAGCAGUAUGAUUUUAAAGUAAAAAAGAAAACGGACAUGGGUAAAAGCAGUGUAUAUCUUCUUUAAAAAGUAAAAUAAAAUCUUAGUUCUCCAUUCAGGUAGGUAUCCAUGUUGGUCUGAUGCAGUCGAAACAAAUAAAAAUAAUAAUAAUUGUCCAGUAGCACCUUAGAGACCAACUAAGUUUGUUCUGGGUAUAAGCUUUCGUGUGUAUCUGAAGACGUGUGCAUGCAGAACAAACUUAAUUGAUCUCUAAGGUGCUACUGGACAAUUUUUUAAUUUUUUUAUUUAUUUCGACUUAGUUCUCCAGUUUUGAUUAAAAUCACACUUACUCCUGUGGUACCAACUUCAUGACCUCCCACUUUUCAUAUUCACUACAUCCUAAGCAGCAACUUCUUUUUUGUAGUAAUUCCAUCCCAGUUUCCAUGAAAGGCACCAAAAUCCAGCAUAAAGGCUCUCCUGACAAUCACAUUUGGCUUUUAAAUCCAGAAUUUGGACCCAGUCAUUUUGACCCCGGCCAUUUUAAGGGAAACACAUGCUGAGAUUCUUUGUGCAGCUGGAGACUGUUAGUUCCAGCUUUGAGACUGCUGACUUUGGCACGCUGAGAGCAUCUGGGCAAACAAGAGAAGCGGAAGGUUCCAGAGGGGCUUGGCAGGCUGAAAAGAGCUUGUUCUGCCCAAAGUCAGUUUUGGACAGCUGGGUGUUGAGUCCAGGCUGCCGAAUGAUGAGGUUCAAAUAGCUACAGGUGGAAUAGCUGAACUCAGAGCAUUGAGAGCUGUGCACACAGGAGGCCUGAGAGUAGCGCAUAGCUGUCAAGAGCUGCUCAAGAGAGAAUAAAGAGGUAACUCAAGUAGAAGGAAGGAAGCAGUGAUUCAUAGAGUGGAAUAAUCCAGGGGAGUGCUCGGUUUGGCAUUUUUUGUUUUUAAUUCAUGAUUUUGCUAUGCUAAAUUAGCCUUGUGCAUGUAGAUAAAUAUUCAGAUCCCUUUUGUGUACAGGAGGAAUAUUUGGAGGAAAGCUAAUUCUUAUAAGAAUAGCGUAAUGUUUCUAAGCAACAGAAACAUUACUCUUGCUCAAUUUUAUAAUUUGUAUUGAUUCAUAAUAGCACCUCCAAACAAUUUUCAGGGAAAUGGAUCAGUCUGCUUAUAUUCACUGUUAUUAAAACUGAAGACUGAAUCUAAUUAGUAAAAUAACUUUUUUUAAUCAAUACACAUGGUAACAUUACAUAUAUGUUCUUACAGGUGAUGGUGAACUGAAACAGGACUCUGUAUCAUGCCUUGAAGUAAGUAGAGUUUGUAUCUUAGUGUUGUUGCUUAUUCUAUCGCAUCAUAAUGAUUUAUCUCUUAAUAUUUUGUCCCAAGCUUCUUCUGAAAAAUGGAAACUUGUCAUGACAGAUGGGUCCGUACAAAUGCUUGUUUAUUUUCAUCUGAGGCAAGAUCAGGGAAGGGGGGCUGUUCACACAAUAAGUUCUGAAAAAAACAACACUUUAACCUAUCAUUUAUUCAGACUUACAAUGUGAGAUUCAGAAUUUGAACUGAGUUGAAUUAGAGGUUGGCAGUCACUGAGUGAAUCAGAGGUUCUGGACAGAUUCACAUAGACCCUACUUGGUACCUUAGGUUGAUAGCGUAGGGAAUGUGGCGCAAUCUGAGAGAAUAAUUCCUUAGAUAUACUUUCAAGCUAAAUUCAUUUUAUUUUUAAUUUUUUUUUGUUAAAGUUUAUGAAAUCUGUACGUUUUGGGGGAAAGCACAGUUUUGAAAUACUGUGACUUCAGAAUGGGCAUGAUCCAAUCCAGAAAGUUGUUUUGAAGUAGUUCAGUAUGUAGAGCACAUUCUUUUUUUCCACUCAACAAUACAUUUACAAACAGUAAAAUGCCUAAAAAUAAGAGGAAGUAUAUUGUGUUGGUUUCUGCUUUCCUUCACUGUGCAGCUCUGCUUGUCACGAGACAGGUGUUUACAUUCCACAGUCUGUACUGUUGGAGUUUCUCACGGGAAAGGGAGACUGGAUGUGACGUACACUGGUUUCCUGUUUUUCACUGUGUGAUUCUCUCCGAGCUGUCGAGGAGAGAGGAUGCAUUUUCUGCUCCGGCAGAGGCAAGAUGUCUUUCUGUAAUAUACCAGCUUUGAACUGUAAAUAAAGCAAUAUAGAGUAUGCAGCACGUAUUCCUCAUCCUUCCGCUGGGCACCAGACUCUGCUUUAAAUCAACACGUGGUUAUGGGCUCCAGAAGUCGAAUCGGAGUGCCGGCAAAGGAUCGGAAUGCAGAGGAACAGAUCGGAACGGAAUCUGCUCUGCGCGUAGAGGUGAUUGAUGAGGUAUGUGCUACUGCUCCGGGCAGCCUGCCAGCUUCAAGUUAAUGGCUUUAUGGCUGGACUUUGAACUUUUAAAGCCGGUUUUGCCGGGAAUAGGCAAAAGGCUCCCAGGCACAAGUCACUAUGCUGGGGAAAUCGAAGUAACUUUUAAGUGCGCUUUUGUAAUAAGGCAGCUGCAGCAGUGACGCAGCAAGAUUUAAAGCAGCAUAUGACGCUGAAGGCUAAUGCCAGAGUCAUGAUGGCCCUUCAGGAUGCUUGUGGGAUUCCUAAGCUCAACAAGAAAAAUUACAGCGACUGGGUUCUGUAUGCAGAGGCAAUUCUGCGGAAAGAGGGUUUGUUUGAGGUGAUUACAGAAACCCCCCCAGUUCCAGUUACAGAUGCAUGGGAAGCUAAGGAUUCCAAAGCAAGGGGAACUCUUACAUUGAUAGUAUCCCCAGAAGAGCUCUGUCUAUUGCGUGAUAAGACCUCAGCCAGAGAAAUUUGGGACGCUUUGAGAGAGGCUCACUUAAGGACAGAAGCUGGAUCCACUAUGUUUUACUUUAACAAGCUGCAUAAUAUGGCUCUUGCUGAAGGUGGAGAUGUGCGUUUACAUCUGAUGGAGAUGCAAAAUCUGAGACAUGAGCUGCAACAGAGAGGACUCAACUUUCCAGAGGCUGUGUAUUCUUUCAUGAUACUACAAUCUUUGGGUUCAGGUUGGGAGUCUGUUGCAACCCAGAUUGCUGUGCAACCAACUGCUCAGCUGACAGUGGACUUUGUUACUGCCGUGAUUUUAAAUGAAGCAGAUCGCCGGGUGCUAGCUGCAUGGGCAAGGGGAGUCUUCACAGACGUCAUCCCAUAGUGCAGUGGAACCACCAGAUGGCGCCAAAGCUUUGAAGGCAGUGAAAUGCUACUCGUGUGGACGUCUAGGCCAUAUGAAGAGGGAAUGCAGACAUCCCAGGGCCAAGACAGAGCAGCGCAGCGAAAGCUCAUCGCGCGGAAAAGGCCGAGGCAAAGGCAAAGGUCCGGUGUCUAGGACAACGCAGCACAAGGCUAUGGUUUCACGCUUCACUCCAAAGGUUGCAGAGGUCCAGAAGACGUCUAGAUCUUUCUUCGUUGUUGAUUCAGCGGCGACCCACCACAUGUGCAACGAUAAGAGACUGUUUGUGUCUUUUACACCGCAGGAAGGUGCGAUUCACCAGGCGGAUGACCACACUAUUCCCAGUAAAGGCUACGGAACUGUUGUUCUUCACAGUUUGGACUUAUCGAUACAGAAUGUGCUUUACGUGCCAGACGCCAAACAUAAUCUGCUCAGCGUUGGACAGCUGAAUGAGCGGAACAUUGACGUUUCCUUCAAGAACAAGAAGUGCAUCAUCACAAAGAAAAAUGAUUAUGUAUUGCAUGCAGAAUAUGUUGAUCGUUUGUUUGUUUUGUAUUAUGAUGAUGUGGUGCAGGAUGACACUUGUUGCAUUGCAGGUUCUAACAAAAGUUUGCAUGCAGAAUGUAUUCACGAUUUUCAUAGAAAAUUUGGUCAUUUGCAUUUUGAGGCAGUAUCUAAAAUGCCUGCCUUGGUUGAAGGUAUGACUAUUAAACCCUGCAGGUACCACAUGAAGUGCAAAGCAUGCGCAGCAAACAAAGUGAAAAUGGCUGCGAAAGGUAAGGUGUCUAGUAGGAAAGCUACAGAACCAUACCAGGUUGUUCAUGCUGAUUUGGUUGGACCACUAGCGCCCUCUUUGGGUGGAAAUAGAUACUUCAUGGUUCUCAUUGAUGCAUUUUCUAGAUAUAUUUUUGUGUACAAUCUCAAGCAGAAAUCGGAGGCUUUUCCUAGGUUCAAGGAAUUCUGUGCUUGGUUGGAAAAUGUGCAUGGUAAGAAGAUAAAGACUCUUUUCAGUGAUCGCGGGGGAAUUCACUUCUCAGCAGUUUGAAGCUUUUCUGACUGAGAAAGGAAUUCAACACGAUUUGUCUAGUCCUCGCUCGCCAUGGCAGAAUGGACUUGCGGAACGGGCAAAUCAGACAUUGCUUCAAGGGUUAAAAACCUUGCUGCAUGAUGCCAAUCUUCCAGAGAGUUAUUGGGCCGAAUCUCUCUCGUGUUUUGUUUACAGUUACAAUCGCAGGUUAUCUUCAGCGAUUGGUUGUACCUCUAUGAGAAGAUGUUUGGCAAGAAGCCAUACAUCAAACACAUGAAGAUUUUUGGUUCUGACAUGUGGGUUCGCUCACCACAAAACUCCAAGUUAGACAAGCGUGGAUUGCAUGGUAUCUUUCUAGGUUAUCAGAAAGGGUCUUACAGAAUAAUGAUGACUGACUCUAAGACAAUUAAGCUCACGAGAAGUGUUGAGUACAAUGCAAAGUGGGGGAGAAUGUGGGAAUUUUCCAAUGUUAUCCUGAUGACGGUGAUGAGACUGAGGAUAGUCAAAAGCAACCACAACAGCCCACACCCACUGAUGAAGGUUCUGAGUCUGAAUCUGAAACUGAAUCGGGUGAUUCAGAGGAUUUCGAGAGUGCGAAAGCCUCUAUGCGACCCUCUGAAAGCUCUGAUCAAGAAUUGGAGGAACCAUUGUUCACAAUAGGUCGUUUUUCUCCUAAGAAGGAAGAGGAGAGUGUUGAAGACUUAAGGCUAAUUCGUAGGUCACAGAGAGCCACAAAAGGCAAACCUCCAAAGAGAUUUGCUGAUGAGUUUGCUACGAUAGCAGUAACAGCUGUUAAAAGCUCCAAGAAGGUAUUUGAACCUUCAAGUUUCCAAGAAAUCCAGGGUUUGGAUUCAAAGGAAGCUGAGCCAUGGUUAAAUGCCAUGAAGGCUGAGCUUGAUUCCUUAGAAAGGAACAAAACAUGGGAGCUAGUUCCAGUAGUUCCAGGAAUGAAACUGCUUGGAAGCAAAUGGGUCUUCAAAGCGAAGACAGAUCAAAAUGGCAAGAUAGUCAGACACAAAGCCAGAUUGGUAGCCAGAGGUUUUGCACAGGUACCAGGUCAAGACUAUCACGAGACCUAUUCACCCACAGUGAGAUAUGAAAGCAUUAGGCUUAUGCUUAAGCUAGCUGCAGAGGAAAAUCUACACAUUAGUCACCAUGAUAUUAAUACAGCUUUUCUGUACGGAUCUCUAGAUGAAUCACUUUAUAUGCUUCCACCUGAUGGCGUACAGGUAAAACAGGGAUUUGUUUGUGCUCUGAAGAAAUCCCUUUAUGGUCUCAAACAAAGUGCACGGUGUUGGCACACAAAACUCACUGAAGUAUUGUUUUCUCUAGGUUUUCAGCAAGGGAAAGCUGAUCCAUGUGUAUUUGUCAAAGAGGAGGGGCAAAAGAAACUGUACUGUUUGUUUUAUGUUGAUGAUUUAUUAUUCUUUUGGAAAGAUGUUGCAAUGUACAAUAGCGCCCUAGCUCAACUGAAAGAGCACUUUGACAUGAAAGAUCUUGGUGAGGUAAACAACUACCUAUCUCUGGAAAUAGAGAGAGAUCAAGAUGGUAACAUUCUAGUACACCAGUCACGGAAAAUUGCUGAUGUGUUAAGCAAACUAAAUCUGAUGGAUGCUAACCCUGUAGACACACCGAUGACAACAGGUUAUCAGGUAGAUGACACUGAAGAAGCAUUUUCUGACACUACACUGUACAGGAGUGUGCUAGGCAAGCUAAACUUCAUUGCCAGAUGUUCAAGACCAGACAUUGCUGUUAGCUGUAAUUUGCUAAGCAGACAAGUCAACAAUCCUAGUGUCAAGGAUUGGAAAGCUCUGAAACGCAUAGCGAGGUAUUUGAAAGGCACUAUGCAUUACAGACUGAGAUUUAACAAUCAGAAGUCUGGUGGUCUUGAGAUAUUUGCAGAUGCAAGUUUUGGAAGUGACGCUACAGACAGGAAAAGUACGUCUGGGGUUUGCUACAUGUACAAUCAGAGUCUGUUUGAUUGGUCAUACAAGAAGCAAACAACAGUUAGCUUAAAUACUUGUGAAGCCGAACUGAAUGCACUGUCCUAUUCACUUAAGGAUUGUGAAUGGUUAGUACAAUUGUGCAAAGAUAUGAAAAUUCCUGUCAAAUGUCCAAUCCAGGUUUACCAGGACAACAAAGCAUGUUUGGCUUUGCUGAAGUCUGAAGGUUGUAAGCAAAGCACAAAGCACUUACAAUUAAAGUUGCAGCAUGCUAGGGAAUGUAUUCAGAAGGGACUCGUAACGGUGUCCUAUAUGCCAGGUAAUGAAAUUCCUGCUGAUGUAUUGUCCAAGAUUGUAUCAAGGGAUCAACACUGUACCUAUGUGCAGAAGUUGGGUUUGUACUGAUAUUGUACAAACACGCUGCCCAGUGAUGUUCACAGAAAGGGGGAGGAUGUUGGUUUCUGCUUUCCUUCACUGUGCAGCUCUGCUUGUCACGAGACAGGUGUUUACAUUCCACAGUCUGUACUGUUGGAGUUUCUCACGGGAAAGGGAGACUGGAUGUGACGUACACUGGUUUCCUGUUUUUCACUGUGUGAUUCUCUCCGAGCUGUCGAGGAGAGAGGAUGCAUUUUUCUGCUCCGGCAGAGGCAAGAUGUCUUUCUGUAAUAUACCAGCUUUGAACUGUAAAUAAAGCAAUAUAGAGUAUGCAGCACGUAUUCCUCAUCCUUCCGCUGGGCACCAGACUCUGCUUUAAAUCAACAUAUUGGGCCUAUUGUUUGAAGGCCAAUUCUUUGCUAAAAGACAAGUUUCCUUAUAUCAGUCAUAGUCUAUUGAAGGAGGUUAUGCCAUUGCAGUAUUGGUACAGCUCGCAUUACAUUCUUGGUCCUAAUUGGUAUAAAUGUGGGUCUGCUACUAAGUGAUAGAACACCUGCUUUACAUGCAGAAUGUCCAAAGUUCAGUCCCUGGGAUCUCCAGGUAGGUCUAGAAGAGCCCCUGUAGUGUAGAUGAUAAUGAGGAAGAUGGGUCAACAGUCUGAAUCAGUAUAAGGCAGCUUCCUGUGUUCCUUGCUUGUAUAAACCGUUAUUGUUUAAAAUCAGUUCCAUGAUUUCUCAAUGAAAUUGAGUAAACUUUGAUUUCACGUGAAGAUAAUUUUACCUUCGAGUUACACUAAGAUGGUUGAAUCCUUAACUACCUUGCUUGUUCCCUAAUGUAGUCCCUAUGUCCCCUGAGAGACAGGUGACACUUGAGAAAGGUGUGGGAUUGCUGCUGAAGAGUGAAGUUGGGUGGAAGAUGCAGAACCCGCCCUUGUGCAACUAUAUAUGCCAUCUUCAUGCAGUAGUAUCUGUUCGAAUACUGCUCUUUGCAGAUUAUUUAGAUGUGAUGGAGAGAUGCAUGAGUGAAUUGUAUUUCCUGUUGUUGUGCAGCUGAUGUGAUGUUCACAAAGGAUGUUGAAUAAGGGAAGUUAAAGACUCCGCAUAAAAAUCUAAUGAGCAGUUUAUGUGCUACAGUAGUUUAUAAAGACAUACAGAAUUGCUGAGCUUGAAGUUCUAUAUGGGACGAACUAAAGUGUUGAAACCACGGCUGCUACAACUUUAUUGUUGUUACUAAAAAAAAUCAUUUUAAGAAUAAGUAUGAUAAAUCCUUGAAAGUAGUUUUUAUUGCACCAACUCUUUUUGAAGGAGCUCUUGUCUGCAGCAACGUGCCAGGCUACUUCUGUAUUCUGCCCAGUCUACAAAGUCUUCACAAUCAUCUUUUGAAAGCUAAUAUGUAGGGGAUUUUGAAAUUUUGAAAUCAAUUAAUAAUCUACUGAAUCAUUUCCCCAGUGCUGUUCUUUUACUCUCAGAUUUUAUUACUCUGUCUCUACUGAGUGGUUGCAGACGAGCAGAUCAUUAAAAUAUUUAUUUUGUCAAUUGUUCUCCUUUUUCCAGAUUUGAAUUAUUCAUAUGUUUCUCUUGGGUUGCUAGCAUGUUGUUGAGAAUGCUAAUUGACCUUAUUUUAUUGUUUGAAAUAAUAAGAGAAUUGAAGACAUUUUUUUCUGAACCGGAUGAUUCACUUUCAACUCAACAUGUCUUUUCCAAAACAUUUCCCCACUUCUUUCUAUUUCCCUCUUCUGUUGUGCAUUGUUUAGACAGUUUUCAAUUUCCAAAUAUGCAGAAAGGAUUUUUAUAUUUAAUGCAGGAUUUUUAGAUUCUCUUCUAAGAUGUGCAGUGCUGGGAAUUCUACAGUUAAUGUGGAUGCAGUGUUUUGGCACACUCAGAACUCUUCAUAUGCAUUAUCUCAGUAAUUCUUUCAGUUGACCUACAAGUUAGAUCAGUAUUAUUAUCCCCAUAUUCCUGUGGUUGGCUGAAUGUAAUCUAGCACGUUCAUAGCACAGAUGUAAAAUUUGAACUGGGAAAUUUUCACAGCUCAUAUUGUAACACUUAAUCUGUCUGUCUGUCUGUCUGUCUGUCUGUCUAGCUAUCUAAUGUUCACCCUGCUUUUCAAAUGAAAGAGGCCCCCAGAUUGGCUUAUAAAUAUCAGUAAUAAGACAGUCCCUGCUCAUAGGUUUAUAAUCUACAUGACACAAAAGGAAAAGCAAUUUGGAGGGAGAAAAGGCAGAUUUCAGAACUAGUUAUUAGUUAAUGUUUUAAAAGGGAUCCAGGUUGGUUGUUCCGGGAGAGCUUGUACAAAUCAUCAUUAAAUAUAGAAUCACCAAGCGUAAAGAAGAACAAGUCCUGCUGAAGAAGAAAACAGCAUGGCGUCUGCAAGAAUAAGCACAAUAGAGUUCUUUGAAUGUCAAUCAGCAUAUAGAUAAAGGUGAUCCAGUCAGCACUGUGUGCUUAGACUUUUUAAAAACAAUCUGAUGAAGGCUUGCAACUUUUAAGGAAAGUUUCUUCCUGAAAUGAUUACCUGUUUCAGUAAUAUCUGUAUUUCUCCAUGUAAAUCUUUUCUACUUCCAAGUGGAUACCAGUAAAAGGUAAGAGGUGAGGGUCUUAUACCCACGGAUAUCUGAACAAGUGCCCUGUAUGUGAACCUGCUGUUUACUGAUUCUCUUAGAUAGUUUAGUGUUGUCUUCUUCAAUUUCAUUUGCAAAUCAAAUAUGGUCCAAACCCAAUUUGUUUUACAUGGCAUUUUUUUGCCUACAGUAUUUUUCCAUAUUUCAUGAUAUACGAGUAGCACUGUGGUUUACAAGUGAGCGUUUAGUCUUCUCUGCAAUCAUUUUGCAGCUGCUGAAUAUUUAUAUUCUUACAUCAAGCAUACAUGAAUCCUACUAUAAUUCCUUAAUGCAAAUGUGACAUUUUAUGCUGACUUUGUAAUAUGCAAAGAACAUUCUGCUGAAGUAUGAUAAAUUCUUUUAAAAAAAACCAAACCCCAUUCCUGACCCCCUUACUUAGUACAAGUCUUUACUAUCAUUGGCUUUCCCUGUUUCACUUUAUAUUGUAUGUGACCCUUGGUAAGUAAAAGUGUAAUUUGUGUCCUUGUGCAAGUAAUUUCCUUUAUGUUUGAUGGGUCAACUGGAUGCUUUCCUAAAAUAAAAUUUGAUCCACUAACUACUCUGAGCUGAUGCCUAAUGAAUGAUUAGUGUUAUUGGUUCUCCUGGAGAAUUUAGGAGUUUCUUCUUCAGCAUAGCUUUAUUUGCUUCCAUUCUUUGGUCCAUGGUAUACAUGGUGUCUGUUGGACUUUUUAAUCCCUUGUAUUAACAAUAUCUCCAUUUUUGUUGCUCAGUUCUCCUUCUUUACUUUCCAGUUCUUUGCCACAUAAUUCCUUUUAAACCACCUUGACCUUUCUAUGGUCAGCUGUGCUUGAUUUGUAAGGACAUUUCCACAUUCAAAAUUCACCAGAAUAAAACUUCACAAAACCAGCCUGAAUUACAUCACCAUUCUAAACCCCCCCCCCCUUUUCAGCUGAUAACCAACAUUCUGUGGUUACUGAAUAUGCUGUCUUCAUUAAUGUUUUGGUGUUGUUUGGGGAGAUGAUGCAGGUAAUAUGCAAACCAGUGACACAGACUUGCUGUCCAGCAUUUCCUAUAAUGGCCUUAUUCAGAUGCUAUAUUAAACCAUAGUUUGAAACAAAAUUUCACACAAUGCUGCUCCCCUACUUCCGCUGCCAUACUUCAGACAAAACAAGCCAGAGUUUGGUUCACUGUAUUGUCUGAUCCAAGAUACUUGAUUUGUUUCCUCCAAACAAAUCGUGGGUGAUAGAUAACCAAGGUUGUUUUUUUCUUUGCUUAAUGCUCAUAGCUCAUUUGUAAAAAAACAAGCCAUGAGCCUAGGUUAGAUGAGACAACAAUUCAGGCUAUGCUUCUUGAUCUGAGGCAUGGCAGCAACAGGAGUGAGGGAAGAAACAAUGGUUUAAUGUAAUGUGCGAGCCAAGCUAGUAUCUAAAGUAGAAAAUUUGUAUUUUCCCCUGCAGACCAAUGGGCAAGCUGCAACCACGUUAGGACAUCUGGCAAUUCACAGUAGGAAGACAUGUGGAAGUUAAGCUUCAGGUGUUGUUUAUACCAGUCUUCAAGUUAAAACUGCACAAUAAUAAUCAUAAAUUAAAUCAC
rnacentral:lncRNA from 1 species